rnacentral:lncRNA from 1 species
AUGAGAAGGCCUAUUGCUGUUGGAUUUGUUUAAACGUGCUCAUUGCUACCAUGAUCCUCGAUUCCCUGAAUAUAACACACUAUAUUGUUCAGUUUAGUUUUAAUAAACCGAUUGUAUACUCUUGUUAAGCAUAUUUUUAGGACAAAACUCAAAAGAGUUUUUUUUUUUUUUUUUAAAUACAACCAAACCAAGUUGCUUUCUUAUAAAAUUGAAUAAUUUGUUUUCAUUUCAUAAUAUUAAAUUUAUUAAACAUAUGUUAUUAUAUUAAAGUAAAUUUUAAAAUAAACAGAAACAUAAUAUUAAAUUUAAUAUACAAAAAAAUGACAUUAUUUUUAAUGUCAUAUAAAAUUAAUUAAUUAAUAUUAGUACAUGAGAUGUGUUCAAACCCAAUGAUUUAUUUAAAAAAAUUAUAAUAAAAACAAAUAUAUCAUUUUUCAAAGUAAAUUUAAAAGAAGACGAUUAAAAAGAAGAUGGUAAUGGUCGUCUUUGCUUUGACUUCAUGAUAAAAAGCGUGGGAGAAUUUUAUUUGUUGCGAAUUGUAAAUGAUAAUUCAGUGUGAGGCCGUCAUGCAUUGAAAAAAGAGACGAGUUGUUAAAUUCCAGUCAGAUGCUUUCAAUUUAUUUAAUGGUGGGUCUCUUGCUUUCUUUCCUUUUCUUUUCUUUAAUAAGCUUAGCAUAAUUGUUACUUUUUCAGCUGCAAGGUACCAUUACUUUUGUCCAUUACAGCUCUUCUCACCGUUCGAUUUAAUUUAAUAUUUACAAUUUAUUAAAUAUAUUUUAUUUUAUUAAAGUAAAUUUUAGAAUAAACAGAAGCAUGAUAUUAAAGAUACAAAAUAUUUAAAUUAUUUUGAAUGUUAUAUAAAAUUAAUUUAUUUAUAUUAGUACACGAGAUAUAUUUUGUUAAUUAUAGAAUUUAUUAAACUCAAUGAUUUAUUUUUAAAAAAAUUAUAAUAAAUAAAAAUAUAUUAUUUUUCAAGAUAAACUUCAUCGAAACCCGAAGGGCUCUAGUUACCUUGCAACAGUUGCAAGGUAUCAAAAAUUUUGUUUUCUUUGUGAUUUCAAUUUUCGCUGUUGGACUUAAUAAAAAAACUAGAGAUUUGUUUAUUUGAUUAUUAACAUUAUACUCCCUAGUAUAUAUUUAAAACUAAAAAAAAAGUUAAGUAGUUAAAAUUUUUAACACAUAAAUCUGAAUUGUUUCAAAUUUAUAUUGACAAUUAGCUAUGAGACUUAAAAAAAUAAAUAUUAUUUUUUAAUAUUAUUUAUUUUAUUUAAAAGAAUAAAAUUUAAAUAUUGUUUAUUUAUUAAAAAUAGAUAUUAUUUAUUUUACUUUAUUUAAUAUUAUUUAGUCAUAGGCUUAUUAUUAUAUUUAUUCUUCCAAAAAACUAUUAAUGUUAAAUAAAAUAAAAUUACAUUUAAGAAGGUCAUCAGUAAAAGCAUACAAAGUUAUAAAUAAAUUGUAAAUGAAAAAAAAAGUAUGUAAUAUUAAAUAAAAUGAAAUUACUUUUUCAAAGGUUACCAAUCAAAACACAUAAACUUAUAAAUAUACUGUAAAAAAAAAGUUAAGGAAUUAAAUAAAAUUUAACAUUACAAAAGAAAAAAUUAGUAUUGCGUUGCAACAGUUGCAAGGUAGAUACUUUCAAUUAAUUUAAUGAUGGGUCUCUUGCGCCUUUUUUUUUUUUUUUUUUUCCUCCUCUCUUGAUAAGCUUAUAGCAUACUUGUUACUUUUCCACUAUAUAAGUGGGAAGUGUAAUUUGAACUGCAAAAAGUUUUAUUAACUAAAUUAGUUGGCACUAAGACAACAGAACAAUUUAAGAAAGGAUCUUACUAAGUCAUAUUUCUUAAAAAUGCUGAAAUUUGAAGUUACCUUCGGACUUCCCCUUUUCUUCAUAUUUUCUUCAGAAAUAGCAAUAUAUUGAAUUCUGAGAGGUAACCUUUCACAUGUAUAUAUAUGAAACUAAAAGAAGCUAUAUGUGUUGUGUGGUUUAACUGAAUAUUAUUAAAUUCUUUUGGAGCGGUGCACGAGACUUACGAUUUGAAAAUUGUUCGUAUGAGUGAGGAGGAGUUUAAUUUUAAUUUUAGGCUUUCGAGGGAGACAGUUGAAAUAAAAUAAAAAAUCUAAUAAUUUUUUCAUUUCAAUUUAUUUGGCUUGGGGUAUAUUCUCUGACAGCUUGCUUCGUGAUUUCUGUAUUUGAGACGGCAACGAUGAGACCAAUAAAAUGUUUUAGAAACAUUGAAGCAAGGUAAUAGUCAACGAGAUUUCCUGAAACCUCAUAAAUAUCAUAAAGGCGGAGAUUCUAGUAGGAACAAGCUGUAGUACCUACAAUAUGUAUUUUUGGAAAAAGAAUACUUACACACCCAAAAUUUAAAUCAAUAAUUAUGUAUACUCUCAAAAUUUUAAUAAGAAAAAUCAAGAUCUCUCUUACAACUAUAAUAUUUUUUUACUCUAUUAACUCAAAAAGAUUAAUACCAAUGUUUUCUAAUAAAUAUAAAUAUAUUUUUCAAAUAAAUAUUAUAUAUAUAUUUUAAAUUAAUUUCAAUAUUUAAAAAAUAUUUUAAUACUUUACAAUCUUAUAUUAUAUUGAACUAAAUUGUAUAAUAAACAAAAACAUAAUAUUAAAAUAAAUAUAUAAAAAUUUAAAUUAUUUUUAUAUUAUAUAAAAUAAUUUUAAUAUUAUUAAUACAUGAGAUAUAUUUUAUUAAUUAUAAAAUCUAUUUAACCCAAAGAUAUGUUUAAAACUUUUAUAAUAAAUACACAUAAAUUAUUAAAAUAAAUUUAAUAAUUUACAUUUAAAAAUUAUUUUAUAUACUAAAAUAUUCUUAUAUUAUUAGUCUACUAGACAAAUUAACAAUUUAACUUAUAUUUUUAUCUAUUAAAAAAUUUUAAAGUUUAAUUUUUUAGUUACUACAUACAAAGAGUAUUAUAAUUAAAAAAUAAUAUUAGUGUCCCUGAUAAAAAAUUUGGGGUUUAUAUAAUCAUUUUUCUAAACCUUGGAUGAUUAGAUGUCCUUUUCCCUAUAUUUUAUUGUUAAUUGCUUCAAAAUGUCUGUAAGAAAAAUUAUAUAAUAUAUAAUUAUUUUGCUAAUUGAAAAAAAAAAUACCAUUCAAAAUGUCCGUAAGAAAAUUUUUGAAGCAAUAAGCAAAUCAAUUAUAAAAGUCAUCAAGGAAACAUAUAUUUUCUUAAAACAUCUUAGAAUAUAUAAUAACGAAAUUAUCUUUUAAUUAUUAGGAUUGGAUUAGAUUAGAUUUAAUUGGAUUAUAUAUUAUUGUCUUAUGUUUGGUACAAUAUUACAUUAGACUAUAUUAAAUUAUAUUUGAAUGAAAUUAAAUAGCAUUUAAAUUGACAUUUAAAUAUAAAUAUGAACUAUUUAUGAAUAUUUAAUAAUAAAAUAAUUAUUAAUAUUUAUUUAAAAGAUAGUUAAUUAAAAUUAAAUAUAUAAAAAAUUAGUUAUUAGCCAAUCCAAUUAUAAUAAAAAAUAUAAAUUAAAUUAAAAAAUAUUUAAAUAUUUAUUUUAAAUAUUUUAAAUACAUUUUAUUUUAUCGGAAAGUUAGCAAAUAAUAUAAAAGAAACAAAUUACUGAUAUUAUUAAUUUUCAUGAUUACCUUUAAUAUAGUGAUUAUUAAAUUAAGUACUACAUUAGAUAUUCAAGUAAUAAUUAAUUAAAUAGACAAUUAUUUUUAAAGUUAAUCUUAACUAAAUUCAUGUUUCAAUUGGGAUUGCUAAUCCCAUGAUCUUAAGACUAAAUUUAAAUUUAGUCCCAUAAUCUAAUCCAAAGUAGAGCUUGCCAAAUAUAAGAUAAAUAAUUAAUCUCAAAAUCAAUCCAAUCUUACUCUUAAUCCAAGCUCCCAAACAUAGCCUAGAUCCUAACAAUAGGAUAUACCCAUUUUACCAUAAAGUGUCUGCUUGGACAAUCCAACUAAGCAAUGGCAACUGUCAAAGUUAACUUGUGCAAUGGAAGCUCUCAUAUGGAUGAUGGCGAAUCUGACGUUGGUUAAUUUUGUGUGCAAUAUGAUGCCAAUUCUGGGCGGUAAGAUAAAUCCUUCUUUGUGCUUGCUUUAAAGCAUUUGAUUUACUUAAGACUUCAGCUAUAACAAUCUGGUUACCAUUUGAUUCCUAUAUUUCUUGGUUCCAUUAGGAAUUUCAAUUCCUUCUCAACCAGGAAACAUAUCCAAUUCGCAAUAUCGUGACCUCAAUUAAGUUUUUAUGGGGGCUUGUAUGUACAGAAUUUAAAGAGGUUAUCAGAGUCUUUCGUUGUUGAAGCACCUUGAUUUAAGAUGUGUGAACCUUGGGAAACCCUCUGGUUCAUGCUAGUCAAAAACAAUUUUGCAAGUCUAAUUGUGUUAAAAAAAUGGUCACUAUGUAAACUCCAUCACUUUCCUGUGAUACCUAGUGCCAACCUUUCCUCUCUGGUCACACUUGAUCUUCACUACAAUUCCUUAGAUAAAUAUUUGAUUCCUAGUCAAGUUUCGGAUCGUCGUUUUUUAGGGCUCUUUUGGGAUUGCUUUUGAACAGUUUAAAAAUAAUUUUGAAAAUCUAAAAUGUAAUUUUAUUAUUUAGUAAAAAAAAUCAAAAUUACUUUUUUCAAAAUUAGUCUCUCCUACAUCUGAUUUUAAAAAGCAGGGAUAGAAUAACUUUUAUAUUCUAAUUUUGAUAAUUAAUUUUAUCAUUUAAUACAAUUUCAUAAAUAUCCUUAAAAUUAUUACCUAAACUCAAAAUUAUGCUUGUUCAAAUUGAAAAUAAAAUCAAUAAUUUAAUAAAUUAUUAUUAUAAUUCAUCAAUAUAAAUUUAUUAAUAUCAAUUUGUUGUUCGAAUUAUUAUUAAAUUUGUUUCACUAUACUAUAAAUUUAAUUAUCAAUUAUUUUAAGAUGAAAAUUAAAAAUAAAAUCAAUAUAUUAUAAAUUUUAUUUUUAGUUAAAAUUAGUAUAAUACACAAAUAAAAAUAUUGUAUGUACUUAUUUUUAUAUGUAUAAGUAUAUUUUAUCUGAUAUUAUGUACAUUUUAGCCAUUUAUUUUCUCUCAACAAUUUAACCAUAAGAUUUACCAAACAUUUAUAACUGUUUUCAAAACUCACAGCAUUUCUGAAAAUAAAAUUUACCAAAUACUUAACUAAUUUUCUUCACAACUAAUUAUUUCUACAGCACAAUUAACAACAAUUAUUUAAAAUUUACAGCAUUUUCCAAACUGACUCUUAGACUUUCUAAAUUUACACAGCAUUGACUACCAAGGUCCAAUUCUUGAAGGAUUUCAAAACUUGAGUUCACUUGAUUUCAAUUCUUCAAUUUCGAAAUGGUUGUACAUACAGAUUUAUUCCAACUUUGAUGAGCAAGUACGACCAGAGAUGGAUUGAGUCACAAAGACCACUAACCCAACUAGGAAUCAAAUAUUUAUCAAAGUGGCUGUUGUAAGGAGGAAGUGUGAUUAGAGAUGAGAAAUUGGAACAAGGUACUGUAUGAAAGUGAAGGAGUUUGCAUUAUGACAAUUUUAAUACGAUUAGACAAGUGAAUCAUGACAAUUUUAAUAUGAUUAGAUAAGUGAGGUUGUUCAUGGCGACCAACCAAUCAGAGGCUUCGCCAAGGUUCUAAAUCAAGGUAUUCCAACAAGAAAGUCCAGAAUCCAGAUAGCCGCUUCAAGUUUUGUACAUACAGCCUCUCCAUAAAAACUUGAUUUAAGUCAAGGUAUUGCAGUUUGGAAAGGUUUUCAAGUUGAAGAGGAAUUAAACCCAUAAAUCCUGCUUGAGAGAGAUUAAGGUAUCCAAAACUGCUUACGGAAUCAAGAAAUUUAGGAAUCUAAAUUCCUUCGAAAUUGUUAUUGACAAAGUCCAAGUAACUCAAAUGUAAGAAAUAAGGAUUUACCUUACUACCUAGAAUUGACAUCAUAUCAUAUGAAAUACCAAUGUCAGAUUUGUCAUCAUCGUUAUCGAAAACUCACAGAAUUAGGAUUUUGAAGGUGAAGCUGAAAGACAUGGCCUGUGAAUUUGUUGUAGAUAACAUCAGUCUAUAUACAGUUAUCACCAUCUUUGGUCCAAGAGCUUCUCUCCCCUUCAGCCAAACAAACUUUGUAAAUAAUGUUGGGGAAAAAUCAAGUUUUCAAAUUUUUAUAAAACCUUUUAAGAUCGCUCUCAUAUAAUAUAUAAGAAUUUGUAUUCUAGAAAUCGUACCUUGAAAAUCUGAGUUGGCUUUUUCUACUAAGUGAUUUAGGCUCCUAGAUCACGAUCUGCCACCACCACUCCUGUUAGAUCAUGAUCUGUCACCACCACGCUUAUUAGAUCACGAACUAUCACCAAUGAUCUUCCAGGUUAUGACUCAGGUUCGAUCUGCACUUGACGUGUGGGCGCCUUUAUCACUACCAAAGCAACUAGCACGAGAAAAUUUUUCUCUCAACAAUAGAGAGAAAAAUCUUAUUCUCUGAUCUGUAUAAAGUUGUUUCUCUCUUUUUCUUUAGAGAAAAUAAGCUUUAUAUAUCUCCCUAGGCUCCAAAUAAUCAAAAAACAAAAUUUACGUUACUUGCUUUUUCUAUAGGAGACCCACCUUGUAAAAUAACAUAAAGCCCCUUACACACAAACUAAUUAAAUGGAGCCUCCCACUAAAUGAUAUAUUUAGGCUUUUGACCGAAAUAGCUAGUUAUCUUACUUAUUAGUCCAGUAGUGGUGCAGUCAAUUAAAUGAGCUAACCCGGAGAUCAUUUGAGAACAUACAAUAGUGGCUACAAUAAUUAGGCCUGUAAUUAAACUAGCCCAAUUAUUUAAUUCCAAAUCUACUCUACUAAAAGAUUGAAACCGACUUCCAUAAUUGUAUGCUCGAAUAAUAAUUCAUCCCAAGCCACAUUGAUUUCUUUACUGCACAAUCUUUUGUACCACAUUAUUAAUUAAAUUGAUAUUUCAACUGUCUAAUCAAUUUAAUAACAUCUUAUUCCUUGAUACUUACUAGUUUUCUCUAAUGAUCAUUUUCAACAUACUAAAUAUGUUGACACACUCUGGCCAGAGAAUUCUAUGAUCAAGUGCCGAAAACCCAUCAAAAGAUGUGUUGUACGAAUUCUAUAUUGUUAAUCUAUAACUCCAAUACUCAUAAAUGCUCCCACCAAGAUACCGGGUAAUCUAGACUACAAGUAUGUGUCAUGCCAAUUGGUAACUCAAAUGGAAUAACAAUUACAAUCAUGAAAUCAUAAUUAACUCAAGAUUAAGAUUACAGUAAAAUCAAUGCUUAUGAGAUUUAAUAAGUCUGACAGUUAUUACAAAGUUAAUUAAAUCUCAUAUGUGAUCCUGUUCAAUGUAGUCGUACUACAUCAAUAAAUUCAUACAUGAUUAAGACAAAUCAUUCAAUGAAUUUAUUACAGUCUAUACCUAAAUAAAGUGUCCAACUUUAUUUAUCAACUGUGAACUAAAUUUAUUUAAUCAUAAGAUAACUUGUAUUUAUGUUUUCUGUGAAUCCACAUGGUGAUCACAUAAAUACAUAUAAUAUGAUUAAAUGGACUUUAAUAAAAAUAUUAAUGCAAUUAAGAUAUUUGAAUAAAAUACCUCAUUAAUUUUAUUAAUCAGAAAAAAUAUUUAUUACAAUUAAAUAAACACAUAUGCUUUUAAAGAGCAUAUUUUCCCAACAAAUAAACAGUUGUUUGUGCAUAAAGCUUAGACAGGCUUAAACUUAGAAAAUCAAAAUCAGUAAAGCUAAAAUGGAUAAUAACCCAAAACCUCAGAGUGGGAAAAUCUUAGUGUUUUCAUUAACAAUUAGAAGAGAUUAAAGUCUGAUAUGCACAAUCAAAUAAAAAAAAAAAUGAAAUUGAUUACAUUUUAAGGAAUAUAAUUUGAGUGCCUUGAGCUAACAUAGUCUCCAGAAAUUUGGUACAUUUUCUACCAAAUCUCUGGCUCAAUUGCACACCCAUUAAAAGCACACAAUUCGACCACUUUGAGGUGUUUUCAAGAGUAUAUUUAGGAAUCUGAUGUCUUUGCCUUUACAAAUUUAUGGACACUUGAACAAGACUGCAAUGAUCAAAACACUAACGUUAACAUGUUGAAACCACACAUUGCCUGGUUAAGGAAAUAAUACAACUGAUUAAGUAAAACUCUAAAAAUCCUCAACAGUCAUUUAAAAUGCAGAAAAUAUCCAGGGCAACUUUCUCUUACAGGCUUCCUCUACCUAUUAUUAUGAUUAUUAUUAUUAUUAUUAUUAAUUUUUUGGAACAAGAAAUAGAAUUUCAUUUCAUCAACAAGUACAGUAGUUGGACUCCAGCAUACACACCACGUAGACAAAGAGAUCUUAGAGACUUUAUAGUAGACAAAUCACACUGGCUUUUAAGGUUGACAUUGCAAGCUAGUGGAAAUUUGAUGAUAUGAAGCGGACUCUUUGAAGCCAAAACUUGUGGCAGGUUCAACUCAAACUUCUGAACCCCCUUCAAUCAAACUUGUGGCAAGUAACGCAAAAUUCACGAUUAUCAUGAGAAUCAAUAUCAAAAUCCAAAUGUAUAUCAAGCUCAUCUAUGAUCGAGCCUCUAUGCUUCUAAUAAUUUAUUCACCGGUUUGUGUAUUUGGGCUUUUCCCUAUCCGCUAACCUUGUGCUUGAAUAUAAAGCUGAGUUUGAGGAAUCAAAGUUAAGACAAGUAAUAAGACUCCACAAAAUUUCAACCUACUUGAAAGAACAUCGGUCCUUUCAGUUUCCUUAAGAGGGAAGCGAGAUAUAAUAUUAACAAGAAUAUCAUCCGGUGGUUCACUCAACAAAUCCUAUAAAUAAAUAAAUAAAUAAAUAAUUCAAUGUCAUAAAAACAAAACAAAAACAAAACCAGCACUACGAAAUCAACUGAGACAGUUCCUUAUGAUGACGCGGUCUUUUCGUCAUCUUACUCUUCGAGAACUUUUUACCUCAAAUUUUGCCCCAAUAACGUCAAACGAUUCUGCAUGUGAAGUAAGCUUCGGCUGUGUUAAGGAAGCUCACAUGAGCAGAGUAGUCAGUGGAGCAGAGGAUUGCAACACCUGCAGCUUGCUGUUACAGGUUGAUGACAUGGCUUGCCAGUUGGAGCCUGGUGGUUAUAUAGUCUCUUGCACACGUGAAGAUUAAUAGAGUUUGUUAUAGUAUUUCUUGUGCUUGUAAAAUCAGUUUUAGUUAGUUAUAAUCAGCUGAUUAGCACUUGUAAUUAGUUUGAGAAUUAGUUUAAUUACUACUCAUGUAUAUAAAUAGAAUGAGGUACAGAUUCAGACUAUUAUGUUUUUGAGAUAAUAAAACGAAGAAAGAGUUUUAGAAUUCUCUUAUUUUCCCUUAAGUUUCUCUGCUUCCAAACAUCAUUGAAUUCUUACUUGGUAUCAGAGCCAGCCAAUAAUGGCGUCUGUUAAUCUUGCUUCGUCUUCCUCAAUUCCAACUCUUAAUCAUGCUACAAAUUCAACAAAUGUUUCCUUUACCUUUAACACACCAGUCAAGCUUGAUCAGUCCAAUUAUCUCAUAUGGCGAUCUCAAGUUCUAGCCUCAAUUCGUGGAAACAGGCUCGAAAAUUUUAUUGAUGAUGCAGUCACUCCACCUCCAUCUCAUAUAGCUCAGAGAGUUGAUGAUGAACUCAGAUCUGUGGAGAAUCCAGAAUUCAUAACAUGGAGAUCUCAAGAUCAGGUGCUGCUUGGAUGGCUGCUCUCUUCAAUAAGUGAAGGAAUCAUUAGUCUAGUGUUCAACCUGGAAACGUCACUUGAAGUGUGGAAAGCUAUUAAGGUACAAUUUGGCUCGCAAUCUAAAUCCAGACUUUUACAUCUGAGAUACAUGAUGAAUUCAACAAGGAAAGAUGAUAUGAAAAUCAGAGACUAUUUCAUUAAGAUGAAAAACAUAGCUGACAAUAUGGCUGCAGUAGGAAGUGUUUUAAGUAGUGAUGACUUGAUUUUGCAUGUAUUAUCUGGCCUAGGACCAGAUUAUAAUUCAGUAGCCACUUACAUUACUGGUCAAGUAGGAGUUGGUAAAAUGAAUGUGAAUGAAGCCUAUGCUAUGCUCUUAACUCAAGAGGCUAAGAUUGAACAACAAUCACAAAUGCUUGUUGGUGUGGAUAUGGAAAACAAUUUUAAGGCAAAUUAUGCUCAAAACAGAGGAGUUAAGAAGGGAAACAUGUCAGGUGGAAGAGGUUUUAGUGGCUAUGGCUAUAACUCUGGAUUUGGAAAUGGUGGUUAUUACAAAGGAAGUUUUGGCACUGACUCUGCUGGUGUUGGUACUGGUUUUAAUACUCAGUUCAAGAGUUAUCAAUCAGGCAAUCAAAGAGGAGGAGGAGGAGGUAACUGGAACAAUAACAUUGGAGUUAACAAUUUCAACAAUGGCAAAUCACCUAUGAACUCUAAACCUCAGUGGAACACUUUAAAACCUACCUGCCAAAUCUGUCUCAAGCCUGGACAUACUGCAAACAUUUAUUGGAAGCUGGAAGAAUUCAUUGCUUCAGGCUCUUACAGAUCACCUCCAAAUAGAGGACCAAAGGCUGCCUAUUUAGCCAACAUGGAUGCUCCAGCUGAUACUAAUUGGUAUCUUGACAGUGGUUCUACACACCACCUCACUAAUGAUAUGAGCAAUAUGAAGAUGGCUGAACCUUUUGCAGGUACUUCUAAACUUUUCAUUGGUAAUGGGGUUGGUUUAUUCAUAACACAUACAUGUUCUGCUGUUUUAAGAAUGCAAAGUUCUAUAAAUCAUUUUGAUCUUAAGCUAAACAACAUUCUUCUUGUUCCUAAAAUAACCAAAAACCUGAUAAGUAUAUCAAAGCUAACCAGAGCUAAUGAUGUUAUGGUAGAAUUUACUAAAGAUUUCUGUUUUGUUAAGGACAAGGUGAGGAAUUUGAUCAUGCUGCAGGGCAAAGCUGAAAAAAAAUUGUACAGAUUGCUAUUAGUCUCCUCAAAUAAAACCUCUCCUUAUCUGUCAAACCAAGGUCUUCUUGCUCAUAUUCAGUCAGAUGUCUCAACUCAACCUAUUUCCAUGUUUUCUAUUGUUAAUUCUAAAUGUCAGAAUAAAAUUGCUUCUCAGUUACAUACUGAAGCACAAUGUAGUCAAAACUCAGAUUGUAUGUUGAGUACUAUGGUUUUACACCAAAGAUUAGGUCAUCUCAAUGCUAGAGUAUUGAGUCAUGUUAUCAAUUCUUGUCCAUCUUUUAAAACUAUCGAUGAUAAUAAAGGUUUUGAUUCUUGUGAUGCUUGUAAGUUGGGAAAAAUGCACAAACUUCAUUUUCUAGUAACUGAAACCAAAACCAAAAAUGCACUUGAAAUCUUACAUACAGAUCUAUGAGGGCCUGCUCCAACACUUUCUAUACAAGGAUAUAAAUAUUAUAUCAGCUUUGUAGAUGAUUACAUAAGAUUCACAUGGAUUUUUCCUUUAAAAACCAAAGCUGAAGCACAAGUAGAGAAACAAUUAGAUAAAUCUGUCAAGUGCCUUCAAUCUGAUUGGGGUGGUGAGUACAGAUCAUUUGUACAUUUUCUUCAAACAAAGGGAAUUCAGUUUAGACACUCUUGUCUCUAUACUCACAAUCAAAAUGGACUUGUAGAAAGAAAACAUAGACAUAUCACUGAGUUGGGUUUAACCUUGCUUGCACAAGCAAAGUUACCUUUAAAAUUUUGGUGGGAUUCUUUUCAUACAGCUACCCACAUUAUAAAUAGACUUCCAACUCCUGUUCUUUCCUUGAAAACCCCUUAUGAAUAUCUAUUCCAUAAAAAACCAGACUAUCCAUUUCUCAAAACUUUUGGUUGUACUUGUUUUCCUUUCUUAAGAGAUUACAAUCAUCACAAGUUAAACUUUCAUACUUCUAAGUGUGUCUUCUUAGGAUACAACCCCUUACAUAAAGGCUACAAGUGUCUUCAUUCAUCAGAAAAAAUUUACAUAGCAAGUCAUGUUCUUUUUUAUGAAACUUCUUUUCCAUAUUCUACUGAUCCUACCUUCUUACAGUCUAUGCCAUUUAAAUCUUCUGACUUCCUUUAUAAUUCCUUACAAGUAUAUCACAUCUUAGUUCCUAAUAGCAAUCAGAAUCCUUUAGAAGUUGCUCCUGCAGAUACAGAUUCUCAUGCCUCAAGUUCUACUCACAAUAUCAUCUCACUUCCUCUUCCUACAUCACCAGUUCAUUCCACUUCACUGCCUUCACCAAAUAAUUCUAUAUCUUCACUCAUUGUCCACACAACAUCACCAGCUGCAACCAUAAACACUACACCAUUAUCUGCAAUUUUAAACACUACAACUUCACCUACAAUACUACAAACUUCACCUUCCAGAUCACUUCCCUCCCUUCCAAAAUCUAUUGUAUCCACUCAUUCUAUGAUUACCAGAGCAAAGGCUGGCAUAUUCAAACCAAAGGCAUUCCUGACAGAUCAUAAUAGCCUAGAACCUUCCAAUGUUGGUAAAGCCUUGUCUGAUACUAAGUGGAAGGCAGCAAUGCAAGAUGAAUAUGAUGCCCUCAUUAGAAACAAAACCUGGAGCUUAGUACCAAUGAAUGUAGAAUACAAGUUAGUAGGCUGCAAGUGGGUCUUUAGAACUAAAUACAAUACUGAUGGUUCAAUCUCUAAGUACAAAGCUCGUUUAGUUGCAAAAGGGUUUCACCAAACUGCUGGGAUAGAUUACUCAGAAACCUUUAGUCCUGUAGUGAAGUCUUCUACUGUCAGAGUUAUUCUUAGCUUGGCAGUCAUGCAAGGCUAGAAUGUUAGACAAAUUGAUGUCAAUAAUGCAUUUCUUAAUGGGGAUCUUACUAAGGAUAUGUACAUGCAACAGCCAGAGAGUUUUGUUUCAGAGGGAGGAUACAUCUGUAAACUAAACAAAGCUCUUUAUGGCUUAAAACAAGUUCUAAGAGCCUGGUAUGAUAAGCUUAAGGGUUGUCUUACAAGCUGGAAAUUCACUAAUUCUAAGGCUCAUACUUCUCUGUUUAUCAGGCAUGAUGUCAAAGGCAUAAUUCUUGUCUUAAUAUAUGUGGAUGACAUUUUGAUCACUAGACCAGAUUCAGAUUUGCUGGAAUCUUUUAUUGCUAAGCUCAGCAAAGUUUUGCAUUAAAAGACUUGUGUCUAGUAACAUAUUUCCUUGGUGUAGAAGUUAACUAUACAGAUCAUGGAAUGCAUCUCUCUCAGACCAAAUAUAUCAAGGAUCUGUUGUCUAUAGGAUUAACAGGAUAUUCAGAUGCUGAUUGGGCAUGUGAUAUUGAUGAUAGGAAAUCCAUUGGAGCUUAUUGCAUUUUCCUUGGUAAUAAUUUGGUUUCAUGGUCUUCGAAAAAGCAAGCCAUUGUAGCAAAGUCUAGUACUGAGAGUGAAUACAGAGCCUUGUUAGCAGCCAGCUCUGAACUUUCUUGGCUGCAAUCGUUAUUCUCUAAGCUCAACAUCACAAAAUUACCAACUUCUGUUCUAUAGUGUGAUAACUAGAGUCCUGGAGAUCUAGCUAGAAAUCCAGUUUUUCAUUCAAAAUCAAAACACAUAGAGCUAGAUAUUCAUUAUAUUAGAGACAAGGUUCUUAACAAAGAAUUGGAAUUGAGGUAUAUUCCCACUAAAGAGCAAGUUACAGAUGUCCUUACUAAGCUCCUGUCAUUUCCUAAGUUUAGUUAUUUUCGUUCCAAGCUUAAUGUGUUCAGCAGACCCUUGAGCUUGAGAGGGGAUGUUAAGGAAGCUCAUAUGAGCAGAGUAGUCAGUGGAGCAGAGGAUUGCAACACCUGCAGCUUGCUGUUACAGGUUGAUGACAUGGCUUGCUAGUUGGAGCCUAGUGGUUAUAUAGUCUCUUGCACACGUGAAGAUUAGCAGAGUUUGUUAUAGUAUUUCUUGUGCUUGUAAAAUCAGUUUUAGUUAGUUAUAAUAAGCUGAUUAGCACUUGUAAUUAGUUUCAGAAUUAGUUUAAUUACUACUCAUGUAUAUAAAUAGAAUGAGGUACAAAUUCAGACUAUUAUGUUUUUGAGAUAAUAAAACGAAGAAAGAGUUUUAGAAUUCUCUUAUUUUCUCUUAAGUUUCUCUGCUUCCAAACAUCAUUGAAUUCUUAUUGGCUGAAAGAGAGUAUGAUGGAUAAUAUUCGUGUCGCCACGUGCCCUUUUGAUUGGUUUAGAUCAGUCGGCGGUGGUUCAGAUCAGUGGGCUUCUCCUCUGGUGGGUUUUUUUUAUGGGCUUCGGGUGUUAAAUAAUUGGAGCUCGAGCCAUCUAGCUUCCUUGAUGAAUUUCUUUUUAUAUUUUUAUUUUUGUAAAGGUCCUUCUAUGAUGUUCUAAUAUUCCUACAGCAUUAAUAAUGUGAAAAGUAUAUGCAAUUAGAUCUAAUCAAUGUUACAUAUUAUUUCUAUUAAUAAAUUUUUUUAAUUAUUUUUAUAAUAAUAUAACCAGUUAAUAAACCAAUUAAAGGGUAAUUUUAAAUUUUAAACUAACAAUAACAAGAGAUACGAUAAAAUAUCUCAAGUUAUUUUAUUUGAAAUUGAAUUCUUAACAUCACAUUAAGCAAGAAAACUUCAUUACAUAAUGCUUAUCCGUGCAUCUUCUUUUAAAUAAAAAUGCUAUAUUCAAAUAUAGUUGAAAUAUAAAGUGGUUUCUAAAAGUUAAGAGGUUGCAGUUAAGCUGCAAUUAGUCUUGUGUUAUGCUUGCAUAGUAACAAGAAUCAUGUUCCAAGGUUUGUACAAUAAGAGAUCUGCUCUAGCAAUUUAGAUUCCAAUGAGCAAAAAAUAUUUUGUAUCAAUAUCAUUGUCAUAGAACUUUGGUAUUUUCUCUCGCAAUUGCUGAAGUUUAAGUAAUUUGUUUGUGUAUUGUUCUGAAUUCACUACUACAUAUUGAUUGGAUAUAAUUAAUUAAUUUUCUUUGAAUUAAUAAUAUUUAUAUUGACAACUACCUGUAUCUGAUUGUUGUAUUUGUUAGAUGAUAAGAAAUUUAAAUUGAUGAAAUGUUACUAAUAAAAAGUGGAUGUACAUAGGUUAGUUAAAGAAAUUAAAACCUUUUAAUUUAGGUUAGUUAAAGAAAUUAAAACUUUUUAAUUAAUUAGUUAAUCAUCAUUAUAUUAAAUUAUAUUAAUGAAUGGUUAAGAUUAAAACACUUAAAUUUAAGGGUCCACAAUAAUCCCACUAUCAACAUUGUAAAAGUACAUACAACAUUAUAGAGUAAUCAUUUUUGUAAAAUGCAACCAUUUCCUUUUCAAAAAAUAUAAAUAUACAAUCCACAUAUUGAUCACAUACAAAUGAUUUGUAGUACACAUUAUAGAAACAAUAAUUCAAAAAUCUACUCCCACUAAUAUCAAAUAAAUAUCGUCUCUAUAUUUAAAUCUUUAGAUAAGAGAAAUGAGCUCCCACUGCAUGGCUCGAACUGGACAACAUUUCCUAGCGAUUUAUUACUAUUUAACUCCAAAUUUAUUUAUAGAGAAAUUUGCUAAUGUUUGAUGCAAGUUCUAAAAUACUCACAAACUUUUGACAUGUUCCACCCAAUAUUUAAAAGAGUAUCAAUUUUCCAUUUCGACAUUUUAUACGUGUAUAACAUCAUCAUCUUAAAUGAAUAAAUUACCCUUAUAAAGUCAUAAAAAUUUAAUCAUCAUUAAGAGCAAAGUGGACAAUCUAUACUCCUUACAAAUUUUGAAUCGACAUUUGAUAUUUUUGAACUUUUUAUUAAACAUGGCUUUUUUUCCCCCUUAUGAUUCUUCUGCUGUAUAUUUACAUAUAUGAAUAUAUAUGAAACAACAUAGCUGCAAAUACAAAGAUAAUUACAAAACCUGUUGGUGACAUAUUCUUAGAACGAAAAUGUACAAUCUGUCGUAGAGCCGAUUCAAGAAACCAUAGUAUGUGUAUAUCCAUCUUCUACACAAAAACAGAGGAGAGCCUACUACACCUUAAAAGCCCAUCACAAAACUAAGUACCAUGCUUACAUAAAACCAUUUCAACUUCAUGCUCAUUUCCUUCCCUUCCAUUUUCGUUGUCAUGUUUCUACAGACAUUUUGGAAAAGGAGCUCCACAAAGUUCGCUACCUGCAAAACGAGAUUGAUGAAAGCCUUGUAGCUGAAUACCUGAAGGAAUUUCUCCAGUCAAGUUGUUGUUGGAUAAGUUCAAGUAACUAAAAAAUGUGAUAGUCUAAAGACUCUGCAAAAUUGCACUGGAUAACUGAUUAGCAGAGAAAUCAAUGGAUUCCAAUGAUUUCAUAGAACCAAUACUUUCAGGAAUUGUUCGACUAAAUGAAUUUUGAGACAAAUUCAAUGUUUGUGAUGCUCCAGGAUUUGUCACUCCCUUCGCAAUUUCUCCUAAGAAAUUAUUUUUUGAAAGCUCUAUGACUCUUAGUACAUUAAGAUUGGUACUAUAUUCAAAUGCUUUGCCUUUCAUCAUAAAUAACGCCCUCUAGAUAUUACCUCCUGGAAAACCACUAAUAAACUAUAUAUAAUUGUCUACAUAUUCAUAUACUGUGGCCGUGGCAGUCAAGUUACUGAUACAUGGCGAUAAGGGUCCAGAGAGGUUGUUACCAAAAAGGUCUAGGAUCUGCAAAUACUGCAAAUGGCAAAUCUCCUGCAGAAAAAGGCCAUGGAAUUGAUUGAAUGAAGGUUGAGAAUUAUUAUGGACAGAAGACUUUUCUUGAUCCAUUUUGGAACAUCUCCAAUAAACGCAUUUUCCCUCAGGUCAAGAACUUCGAAGUGUGUACCAUUUUGUAACGACAUAGGAAUUGCUCCAGAAAGGUGGUUCCUGUGAAGGUGAAGUGACUCAAGGGAACUCAACGCUCCUGUAGAAGUUGGAAAGUUGCCAGAAAAUUUAUGUUGGAUCUUUAAUCCUGUUGGUGAGUACAAUUUCUAAUGCUAUUGGUGUCAAUGUGAAAGUGCACACAACAAGCAAUAUAUUGAAGAGCAUUCAAAUCGUCUCUAUAUGUAAUGAUGUUAUCAGACUUGCUACAGUAAACUUAACAGUAUAGUUUUGUUUUAAUUGAAAAUAAAGCAACUAAUGAAACUAAUGAAUGAAUUAAAAUGAAAAUGCAAUAAAGAAAAAUCUCACGUCAAAAUGUAACCAAUGGGAAUAGAGUAGUUAAGUGAAUAAACUCUCUUAAUGGCAUUGACUAUCUUUCAAUUACAGUACCUUGCUGCAUCAUCUACUAUAACACUAGGCAUAAUCCCUCAUGUAUCCUCAGUUGUCGCCUAUUCAAUAUCUUAUAUCUAAUGCAACCUAGUAGUGACUAAUUGUUACACCAACAUUAAAUAUAACAUUAAAUGAUCUGGGUUCCAUUUACCCUAAAAGGUAAAUCCCUAUGUCUAGUUCAUUACUAAUUUUAGAUCAAACAUGACCCUAUUCAAAUUGAGUUUUACUCAACUUGGGAAAUCAAAUCUAAAACUAAGUAUGUCUUAAUGAGAUCCACUAAGUCAGACCUUUUUGAGGUUUUUUCUUAGUUAGUAUCUCUAAAUGAGUAGUCAAUCGAAAUAAGGAUUAAAAUAAAUAUAAUUAAGACAAAAUGAUAUAGCAAACAUAUAGCAACAUGUGUAUACCAAUCAAACAUCUAUUAAGAUCAUUUAUUACUCAACGACAAUAAAAUUUAGUUCAUGAUUUGCGAUAAAACAGUUAAGAAAAAUAGUUUCAGCCAUCAAAUACAUCCCCAUAGAUAAAUAGAAAACAAGAAGAUGACAAGAAAAACUGAUUUCCGUUUGAUUUCUACGAUUUCUCCUCUGUCAGCCUUCAAUCUCUCCCUUGAUUUAUGUUUUUCUUUUGUUUUUCUCUGCGAUUUUUCCUUUGUGUGACAACUCUCUCUUUCUCUUUGUGUGUGUGCUCUUUUUAUAGCUCGAAAUUGGGGCAAUCGGAAGUCUAGGGUGUGUAUCUUCCAUUUUUGAAAACUCCAUAUUGCAAUCUUCUAAGUAUCUCGCGUGAAAUCUUCUCGAUCAAUGCUCUAGGAUUGCUACAGCAAGGGUGCUGUAUCAACAAUGCUACAAUAAUGGCUUCAACAUCUGCACAUUCCAGACUUAUUUCAAUUCUUCUAUAGCUAAGUUCUUUCCUUAUUUUUGGAAGCAUAUUGCAGCAGCAUUCCUCCUUGAAAUUAGAGCCUCCGGUCACCUAUAAUUAUGCAUAUGAUCUAAGCACACAAAUUAUUCUAAAUCAAACAAAAUUUAUUAAAAAUAAACUAAAAUCGAUGUUCAUGCAAAAUAUAAUUAAAAUGCAAUAAAAACAUGUCAUUUACUCUCUAAGUAUUACUGAUUCAAUUCUAAAAGUACCAUGAUAACUUUCAUUUCAUAGAGUUAUCACUUGCAUUAUUGGAUCCUUAAUCUAAUAUUAGGCUUAUAUAAUAAUUAUGCGUUGUGGACUAUUAUAUAAGGUUAAGCUCAAUUAAAAAUGAUCUAUUAAGAUUUUUGGUAAUCUGAGCUUUAAUGUAUCUACUAGGAUGUGGGCCUUUAUAUUAUCUAUAUUUUGGAUUCCAUGAUGGGAUGAAAUAGAAAUGCCUAAAAACAACAAGAAAAGUUAUCUAUAUAAGUGGUUAUGGGCUUUAGAUCAAAUAUAACAUUUUAUUUUCUUCUGACAUCCCAUCAUCAAAGAGAGUGCACAUAGAAAAUUAAAGGAUUCUCUAGGAGAAUAUAUUGAUUUGGAAGGCAUACCACACGAUUCUAAAGAAUAAUAAUGCAUUAUGGAUUCAGGUACGCUUCUGAAUAAUUUAUUAUUGAUUCUUGGUGAUACAACAUAAAUGUUCCUAGAUUAUAGGUAAUAGUUUUUACCAACGGAUUUAUUGUUCUAACAAGUGGUAUCAGGGCCUUUUCACGUUGAAUCAGUGAGAAUCAAAUUUCUUUUCGAUUAAUGAUUAAAUCUUUGGUGUUCUCGAAUUUAAUAAUUAUGUUAUUAUUGAAUUUGAGAACAAAUUGAGAAUUAAAAUAUAUAUUCAGAAAAUCCAAGAAUAUUAUGAAAUUUGGUUUCAAUAUAUUCGAUUUUUAAAAUUUAGGUUGGCGACAACCACUGCCACCAUUGGCAUUUAGGCAAGAUUUAGUCGUAAGAUGGUGCCAUCAAGCAAGCUAUGGAUUAGUUAAGUAAAAGCUGCAGCCUAGACCGUGACACCAAAGAAACAGAAAAAAGAGAGGAGGAGGGAUGACUUCCGGCCAAGCAAGAUGUGGCCAUGGGCUGCACCAGCAAGCCAACUGCUGUCACUACACUGAGGCAACUUGGUUAAAGUGGUGGUCACCUAAGGCAGGAAGAAGAAAAGGAAAAUAUGCAAUUAGGGCUCUAUGCUUUAUAUCUUGGAGGUCCCUAAGGUUCUAUAAAAAUUCUUUUUCGGCAAAAUAGUUAAGGAGACUCUCAUUUAAGUCCUAAAUUUGUUCAGGCUCAAUGAAUCUUAGUGUUAGAUCCAAUAGAGAUUGGGCUUAAUAGAUUAAAAUGUAUAAUUAAGGUUUACCCUAGAAAGUUUAUUUUAUAGUCCAAAGGCUUUAUUUAAAAUUCUUUAAAAAAAUAUUAUAGUUUUGAGGGAUUUGGGGCUGGUUUAGGAUCUGGAUGAGGUUCACCCGACUCGUCCAGCUCUAACCCAAUCAUGGUUGAUUGGUCAAUAAUUGACAAUUGAUCAUUCUAUUUGAAUUUGACUUUGACCUACUUUUUUUAAAGGUAAUUUUGGUUACAAUUUUAAAUUCAAAUAUUAUAUAUAUUUUAAGAUGGAUUAAUCCAAGCAACAUGUCACUAAAGUGUUUUCUCUUCUGGAAGUUAAUUUGUUUUGGAAGAUAAACAACUAUGUGUAUGUAAUUUCUCUAAAUAUCAUUCGACCUAAAGGAAGGUCCAUAGUUAACAAAAUUCUAUCUGCACUUGUGGUAAUAAACACUUGAUGAUUAUUUAGUUUUAUAUGUGAACAAUAAGUCCGCCUAAUGGAAGAUUUAUUGUUUGAUAUGUUCUUAUUAUCAGUGUUUGAUUACUACGGUAAGAUAUCACUUACAAGUUAAUAUUUUGUCUAAAGACGAAAUAUUAAUGGAGUAUCUGGUAUCUUGAGAUGGGAUUUAUAUUUGUUCGAAUUUUGUUUUUUGACACUUAUAUAAGCUUGUUUUGUUUGUUUAUUGUUCUUUGUUCAAUUAUGACUCCUGCUAAUAUUACUACCAACAAUAAUUUUAUUCUUAUGCUAAAUGGAUCUAACUUCAAGUUAUGGCAAGAGAACUUCUUAAGAGUUCUUGCAGCCAUGGAUUUUGACAUUGCGUUAAGGGUUACUUUUCCCCCAUUUUUUACGGAUGGGACUACUUUUGAGUACAUAAAGGAUUUGGAAAAAAGGAGAAAUCAAAUCAUAUGUAUAUGAUGAUUAUGAAAAAGGCCACUUCAGAAGCAUUUAGGAGUCUAAUGUUUGGAAAAAAAACUACGGCAAAAGAGUUCCUUACAGAAACUGAAAAAGAAGUUUGUCAAGAACGAAAAGGUAAAAAUAAGUAUGCUCUUGGAAAAUCUAAUUUCAAUAAGGUAUAAGGGCAAAGGAACGAAAAAGAAAAACAAAAAAAGAAACAACACAUAAAAAGAAACAACAAAAGAAACUGAGUGAUCCAAAAGGUGUUAGUUGUUUUUUCUAUGGAGCAGAAGGCAUGGUUGUUGUAACUUUUUCUUAUGCUAUUGGGGUCAAUGUGCAAGUGUACACAACGAGUAAUAUAAUAAUAAGUAUUUAAGAUCAUCUCCACAAAGAUUGAUGUUAUCAGACUUGCUACAGCAAUCUCAACAGUGUAAUUUUUCCUUGAAUAAAAAUAGAACGAACAAUUAAACUAAUAAACUAAUUAAUUAAAAUGAAAUGCAAUAAAGAAAAUUGUAGGAAAGCAAAAUCUCACGUCUUACACAAGGAUAAAAUCAAUAGGAAUAAAGUAGUUGAGUGAUUAAAUUCUCUUAAUGGUUUUGACCAUUUCUUGCAAUUUAGGUACAAUUACUGUAGCAUCUGCUACAACACUGGGCAGAAUCCUUAUGUAUUCUCAGCUGUUGCUUGUUGGAUAUCUUAUAUUCCUAUGCAACCUAAUAGUGACCAAUUGUUAUGCCAACAUAAGAUAUAGCAUUACACGCUAAGUUUCUAUUUACCUUACAAGGUGAAUCUCUAUGUCUAGUUCAUCACUAAUUUUAGAUUAAGCAUGGCCCUUGUGGAAUCAAGUGAAACUCGACUAAGAAAAUACAAUCUAAAACCAAGUAUUGUUCUGAUAUGUUCCACUAAGAUAGACUAUUUUGUGGCUCUUUCUUAGCUUGUAUCAUUAAAUGGGUGGUCAGCUGAAAUAACGAAUAGAAUAAGCUUUACCAAAACAAAAUGAUAUAUCAAACAUGCAGCAACAUAUAAAUUCAGUCAAGAAACCAUCAAGAUUGUCUAUCACUCAACCACAAUUAAAUUUGUUUAUGAUAUGUGAAAGUAAAAUAAACAAAAGAGUUUUAGCCAUCAAAUAUGUCCCCAUGUUUAAAGAGUAAACAAGAUAACAAGAUAACAAGAGAAGAAUAAUAAGGAUUGAAUUCUGAUUGACUUCUACAAAUUCUCGUUCAACGUUGAAUUAUUCACUGACACCACUAAUGUCUCCCAACUGUCAAGCAAAAUUUGGUGAGAAAAAGAGUUGAAGAGAUUAACCCAAAAGUUAGAACAACUUACAAAGAAUUUGAUAAAUUUUAACGAAAAAUUUAGGAUCUAAAAACAAAACUUAAUAUAUUUACCCAAAUGUUGGAAUCCAAUAAAAAGAGCAAGAAUAUAGAACCAAUAAAUGGUGGGAAAAGGAGUGGAAGAGCAUAACCCAUAAGUUGGAAUGACAUGAUGAGAAUUUGAUAAAUUCUAAUGAAAAAUGGAGAUCUGAAAAAUAAACUUGAAACAUUCACGUAAAUACCGUAAUUCAGUAAAAAGAGUAGGAAUAUCGAACCAAAAUUUGGCGGGAAUAAGAGCUGAAGAGGUUAACCUCUAGGUUGGAACAACUUAUAAACAAUUUGAUAAAAAAUUUUAGAAAAUAAGGAUCUAAAAACCGAACCUAAUAUAUUUACGCAAAAUGUUAGAAUUCGAUAAAAAGAGUAAAAAUGUAGUACCAAAAGGUGGUGGAAAAAUAAGUUGGAACAACUGACCAAAAACUAGAUAAAGUCUAAUGGAAUGUAAAUAUAUAAAAAAUAAACCUAAAUAUCCACUUAAAAAGUUAGAAUUUAAUGAAAAAAGUGAAAAUAUGGAACCAAAUGUUGGUGGGAAAAUGAGUUAAAAUAAGUUACCAAAAUUUAGAUAAAUCUUAACAAAAAAUAGGAAUUUAAAAAGUAAACUUUAAAAAUGCACUGCAAAUAUUGGAAUGUGACAAAAUAAGUGGGAAUAUAUCUCUUUUUUACGUACACUAUAUUAUUUUUGUGGUUUCUUGUAUUAUUUAUAAAUUUAAAAUUAUUACAGUCUUUUGCCUCAUUUAAUUACAUAUUUAUCUUUUUUUUCUUUUUUUUAAUAAAAUUUUCACAUUAAAAAUAAAUGAAAUUUUAAUUUUAUUAUAUUAACCAGUUAAAAUCGUUUAUACCGGUUUUCUGCCGAUAAAUUUACACAAAUAACCACAAAACUUUAUGAUUUUUCAAUUUUAACCCACAAAUUAAUUUCUAUCAACAUUAGCCAAAAGUAAAAUUUUCAGACCAAAAUGCCCCUCUCACAUCUCUCCCCCAAGACUCUCUCUUUCACGUAAUCUCUCCUAGAGCCAAGAACACCCAUAGUCGGCAACAACUUCACCCAUCGUCGGCAGCGGCUCCACCCAUCAUCGGCGUCCGAUCUACCUUCUACGGCGAAGAAAAUCAACAAGAUUCAUUAUUCAACUUCAAAAAAACCUAGGUUAGUCAUUUUAUUUAUAUUUCAUUAAUUAAAAAUGAAAUUUUAGAAUAAUAGUGGUUUUAGUUUGAGAAUAAUGGUGGUGGUGGUGGUGCUUGUAGUAGUGGUUGUUGUUUUGGGCGCGAUUUGUGUGUGAACUCGCAUGAUGGGCAGCAAACAUUGCGCGAUCUCACGCGAGCGACAGGCGCUGGUGCGGGCGCCUGUCGCACCAAAUUACAAUUUUUAUUUUUUUUAACGUGAAGUUAAUUUCCCUAUUAUUUUAUUAUAAAUGUAAUCUAAUAAUGUUAAAAAUAUUAUAGAUACAUGGCCAAAUCAGAAGUAUCAAGAAAUGAAUUGGGCAGGAUGAAGUUAGCUUAUGCCGAUCACUUCCCGGGCUGAAUUUCGAGCAUGUGUAACUUUUCUACGGUCGUAAAAGUUAUCGAGCGAAAAUUAACAAAAUAGCAGCUGCAUCUGUUCAAGAAAGACAUAUUUUGGCAUUUCUUAGAGUGCCGAAGCUUUCCGUUUCAUGGUGUAAUUUUGCACAAUGUUUUGCUUAGGUAAGUGGCCCACGGAGAAUGCAGGGAGGAUCAGUUAUGGUUUCAAAUUGGUGAGCAUUUGAUACCUUUGUCAAUUGCAGAAUGGUGCCUAGUUACUGGACUUUCCUAUGGCGUAGAUACCGCACUAACAAAUAACAAAACGGGGCAUAGGCUACUGAAAAUGUAUUUUGGUGAUUUGUUUUGUAACAUCAAUCUUAAGAAAUUUAAUGCAUUAUUUGAGGAGUUGGACUUCAAGGCUAUGGACGACAUUGACGCAUUAAUGAUCGUUUUAUUUUGCGGACAAAGUUCUAAAUGGAAGAAAAGGCCACUGUCAAAUCAAUUUCUCAUGGCUGAACGAAGAAGAUGAUAUAAAUUACUUCUGAAAUCGUCCAUGGGGUCGUUUAUCGUGGGAAACGAUAUAUGAGAGUCUUGACAAUGCACUCUACGAGAAAGAUGAAAAAUUUAAGACGACUCGGUUGGAAAAGCCAAAUCAUAAAAUGGAAAAGCACAAUGUUUACGGCUUUACGUCCGGAGUUCAAGUGCAUUGUUUUUUUUAUUAAUAAGUUUUGUAACAUUAAAUAUUUAAUGGUAGUUUUAAUAGCUUUCUCACUUUGGUUGUUGCAGACUUGGAUUUAAGUAGCGAUCGGAGGUUUACCGCCAGCAUGGGUCGUGAAAACGAAGAAGAAGAUUCCCCGCAUCGUACAAUGGAAGCCCAUGGCUUCUUCUAAAAUAAACUUUGCUGAGGUUUAUUCGUUCUUAAAUGACGAAUCUCGUCUUGUAAGUAAUAUGUAUGGGUAGACGUAUAGUACUAUUUUUGACAUUAUUAAAUUCGAGUUCUGUAUACUAACUUAAAAUUUUGGGUUGAAUUCAUGGCGGAGGAGCGUUUUACAAGCCCUUAAGCCGGAUGCAAAGGAGAGUCACAAAAAAUAUUGGCUCACUAUGAAAGAUUAUAUGCCACGUAUUCUAGGUUGGGUUCAUAAGGUCGAUAUCCUAUAAGUAAUAUUAUUUAUUUAAUCUAAAUUUUUGACUUUUCAUUUACUUAUUUUAAAUAUUAUUUUCUACAGCACCAACCUUCAAUCAACCCGCCGCCGCCCGUUACAAGGCAAUCAGAUGAGCAUGACGACAUACUGAGCCCAACACCAGAGCAGUGUCAUGACACAUCUGAGGAUGAGGUGCCUGUGGAUGACCAUCAGGAGCAGACAUAUAACUCUAAUGAUGCACGUGAAUCCGAGGUUAUAAAUAAUUUCUUUUCCUCAUAUAUAAAUCAUUACAACAGUAUGUUAUUAUAAAGAAUUUUUUUUUUUUUUGUAAUAGAUAAGGACAAAACAGUUUAAUGAUUAUAUGAGACGACGGAUGGACAAGAUUGAUUGUAACAUUUAUGAACUUAAGUCAGAAUUUAAAGAUUUUAAAGAAAUCGCGGUGGGAUUUAUCGAUUCACUGUCUAAACGUCCAAACAAUGAUUCUCCGAUUGGACGCUCGUAUGCGGUGAGCAAAUUUAAAUUUAACAACUGUGUUCGUUUAGUUUUUAAUUUGAUAGUUGUUUAAUAUAUUCAUUUUACUGAAUGGACAGGCCCCAGAUGACUAUGGAGUGUAUACUAAUGUGGGCAAUAAAAAAUUUUCAUUAAUGUGGGCAAUCAAAAUUUUUCUACUCCCACGUCAUUGUAUAGUUUCUACAGGGAUAUUAGUAGGGAGAGCGUGCAGGUCUUCAUUGAGGUGCCUCCGGGCAUUAGUAAGUUUGGCCGAGCAUACGCACCGUCGUAUGUUUUUAACAGUCCUUACAUGAUUCCUCCAAUCAGGCGAGGAAAAAACGUCCGGCCUCUACAUCCACCCCAAAUCAUGUACCAUGCGAUUGUGUGGAUAUAAAUCCACUUAGAGGAUUGGAGGAUCCAAGUCUGUAUGAUGAGUUUGACCGAUGGUUCGCUGGCGAUAUGACAGUGGAUUGGAGAGUCCAACACCGGCGGUCGUUCUUUUCAGUAAUUUUGGGCCAUGUUUCGAUGGAAUGACUAGAUGACGAGAUAAUUUUUUUUCCUAAUUUCUUUCAGUGUUGUGGAUUUGUGUAUAAUUUUUUCCUUUUAAAUCGACGUGUUUAUAUUCCUCUACAGCAUAUUCACGAGUAUUUUUGCUUGAUUAGCGAAAAACAACGGCAGUAUCCGAAUGUCUUCGUUCAACGUGUCACACAUACUGACACAUUUUUUUGGGUAACGUGCAGGCAUAACUUAUAAUUAUCCUUUCUAUUUGUUUAUUAUCGCCUUGAAGUUUUAUUAAUUUAUGCAUUUCUUAGUUAUCUAUGUACUAGGUGUUCUUGAAUCAGAUAUGGAACAACGGGAAUUGUGCGGUCGAUUCAUUAGUAUAUAACGACAACUUGAAUAUUUAUAUUGGUGGGCGGCAGCUGAUAACUCUAUGAAAUGAGAGUUAUUAUGGCACUUUUAGACUUAAAUCAAUACUACUUAGAGAGUAAAUUAUGUGUUUCUAUUGUAUUUUUGUUACAUUUUGCAUAAAUAAUCAUUUUAGUCAAUCUUAAUAAGUUUUGCUCGAUUUAAAGUAAUUUGUGCUCAAAUUGUGUGCAUAAUUGUAGGUUCCCAGAAGCUUAUAAUUCAUGGAAGGAAUGCUAUGCAAUAUGCUUGCAAAAAUAAAGAAAGAAUAUGGUUACAAAAGAGUUUAAACAAAUCUGGAACAGUGCAGUUGUUGUAGAUAUUGCUGUAGCAACCAUUGCUGUAGCAAUCCUGGAACAACGACAGAGAAAAUUCCGCGCGGGAUACUUGCAGAAUUGCGAUCUGCAGUUUCCUAAUCUGACUUAUGCGCGCCAUAGGCUUCCGUUUACCCUAAUUUUCAACUAUAAAAGAAGCACAUAUCAUAAGGAAAAUGGAGGGUCGUCACCCAAGGAGAAAAACACAAAGAAACAAAAGAAAAACAAGAUUCAAGAGAGAGAUUGAAGACUGCACAAGAGGAGAAUUUGCAGAAAUAAAUCAAGAACUCGGUCCUUCUUAUUCUUCUCUUGUUUUCUUAUUUACUAUUUAUUCAUGGGGAUGUGUUUCAUGGCCGGAACAUUGUUCUUUAUUUUUCUUUUACAAAUCAUGAACUAAAUUUAUUUGUGGUUGAGUGAUAAACAAUCUUGAUGGUUUAUUGACUGAAUAUAUGUGUUGCUGCAUGUUUGCUGUAGCAGUUUGUUUUGAUAGUAUUUAUUUUUAUUCAGUAUUUCGAUUGAUCACCCAUUUAAUGAUACAAGUUAGGAGAGAGCCGCAAAAGGGCCUAUCUUAGUGGAACAUAUCAAAACAAUACUUGAUCUUAAAUUGAGUUUCCCGGAUUGAGUUUUACUUGAGUCCCAAAAGGGCAAUGCUUGAUUUAAGAUUAGUGAUGAACUAGACAUAGGGAUUCACCUUGUAGGGUAAAUAGAACCUAAGCGUGUAAUGUUAUAUCUUAUGUUGGCAUAACAAUUGAUCACUGUUAGGUUGCAUCUAGAUAUAAGAUAUCCAACAUGCGACGGCUGAGGAUAUAUAAAGAUUUUGCCCAGUGUUGUAGCAUACGCUGCAGCAACCGAGCCAAACAUUAGAAAAAUAGUCAAUACCAUUAAGAGAGUCUAUUCACUCAACUACUAUAUAUUCCCAUUAGUUUUAUCCUUGAGCUUGACGUGAUAGUUUACUUUGUUGCAUUUAUUUAUUGCGUUUUUAUUUUAAUUAAUACAUUAGUUUCUUUAAUUGUUUAUUUUAUUUUAGCACAAAAUCUGCACUGUUAAGAUUGCUGUAGCAAAUCUAAUAACAUCAAUCCCUGUGGAGACGAUCUUGAAUACUCAUCAUUUUAUUACUUGUUAUGUACACUUGCACAUUGACACCAAUAAUAUUAGUAUUUAUACACCAACAGCAGCACAUCAUGUCCAAACCAAUUACGGAUGUCAAUAUGGUAUGUAUUUUAUUGUAUUUUAUAGCCACAAUCAAAUGUGGAUGUGGCUUUUUAUUGUAUCUUUUUUAAUUUCAUAUAUAACGAACAUGAUAAAUUAGCGAUAAUUUUUUAUGUACAUUUAUUCAUCCCUGUUAACCUGGACCGCGAGCAUUGGGUACUAGCCUGAGUAGACUUUUGUAAGCACAAAGUCUGGAUUUAUGACUCAUUACUGACAUUUCGAGACGACAAAAAGUACAAGUUCAAAUUCAAGCCGCUUGAAGUUAUCUUCUCUCGAUGGUUGAAAUAUGUUGAAUUCUACAACAUUCGACCUGAGUUACGGAGUGCCAACCCCUGGAAAGUUGUCGCAGUUAAGAGUGUGCCACAACAAGAGCACGAAACUGGUGAUUGCGGUGUUUUCUUAUUGAUGUUUAUGAUGUAUUUAAUGUUCGGGCUUAAAUUAAAGUUUAACGGUAGUCAUAGGGAGUACUUUAGAAAGAAGAUUGCAGUUGACAUAUUUAAUGACGAUAUUGUAUUGUAAGCCGUUGUAGUAAUUCGAAUGUUGAAACAUGAUUUUUUAUUCUAAUUUGUGUAUUAAGUUUAUAUAAUUUUAAUGCUCACAUUUUAAUAUAAAAUAAAAAAAUAAAAUUUCAUGACAUAUAAGUGUACAAUACACAAAAAAAAAAAUUGUUUUAACCAAGGAAUCGUUGAAACAAUACAACUAACUUCGACUCAACGCAAUGAGAUUCUUACAUCGCUUACGGUUAUGUCCUAGUUCAUUACACCGCCCGUAUCUAACAGUCCUCCAGUUAACGUCUUCGCCAGCCGAGGGUAUUAUGAGCUCUUUACGAUGACCCGGUGGUGGUGCCUCAACUGGUGGAUAAACGUGCAUCUCUUGAAUUUCAUCUGGAACUUCCCAAUCAGCCACGUCGCCAACCAGCUCCACUGGUUGUGUAUAAGCCAUCGCCAACGAUUCCGUGGUGUAAAAGUCCGAACAAAGGUAUAUGAAAUCCACUCGGACAGUUAGACAAGCCGCAAUUGCAUGAGAACAUACAAGUUGAUCAAGUUGAAAUACUUUACAUGAGCAAGCUUUCUUUUGCAGGUCAACUCAGCCUUCCUUAAUCCCACCACCUACAACUUGAAAUCAAUGUCGAGACACUGGGCGAACGAUCAUUCUUUCAGCUAUAGUUUUCCUCUCAGUGACUAUUUUAUCCGCCCAUGUUGUUAGUCGAGUACUCAUUGAUUCAGCGACAAUUUUUCUAUCAUAAAACCAUUGCUGUAAUGUUUUUCUAAAGUAAUCAACAAGAUGGGUAAUAGGAAAUUUUUGCGGUUCCUUCAUGAAAUAAUUAACACUCUCUGCGAUGUUAGUGGUAAGUAUGUUGUACCUUCUACCUUCAAACCGAGACAUUGCCCAAUUAUACGUACCCAUAUUAUUUUCUAAGUAAUCAGCCGCACUCGAGUGAAGCAUCCAUAACCCUUCAAGUUGUCUUUUAAAUUCCUCGUGUCCAUAUGCUUUUGCUAUAUUAAUAAAUGCAUGCUCAAAUUCAUCCCAAAGAGAUUUGGACAUCCUAAACUUUGACUUAAUGUUACCUUUCACAUGGUAAAAACAAAUGUUGUGAGUUGCAUUGUGAAAUACUUUCAGAACGGCUCUCCUUAUGGCAGUGCAUCGAUCAGAGAUAAUUACCAACUCCGACCUAUCGCCAAUCACUCUGUGUAACUUCAUCAUAAAUCAUUUCCAAGCAUCAUUGUUUUCUGAAUCCAUGACCCCACUGGUUAACGGAUACAAUUGAUUGUUACCAUCCAAACAUGUUACUACGAACAUGCUUCCACGAUAUAUCCCCUUUAGAUGAGUACCAUCUACAGUAAUGACAGGCUGAAUGUACUACAUAAAACCCUUGAUGGAAUAUCUAAGUGCUACAAAGUAGUACAAGAAAUUAUCAUCUUCAUCAUGCUCGAGGUGAGUGACUGUACCCUCAUUCACUUUAGUGAGUACGUGAGAGUAUUUAGGGAGCAAGUUGUAUGACUCUGCAGGGUUGCCUCGAACUAUUUCAAGACCAACUUCUCUGGCCCGAUAUGCUUGCUGGUAUGUUAACUGAACACCGUAUUCCUGCUGCAUAUCUGCUUUGAUGUCAUUGGAAGUGUAAAUCCUCAUUAUGACAAGUGUGUACAUUGUCAAUUCUCCUCACCACCCAAGAAACAUUAUGCUCGUUCGAACUUCUAAUUGCUUGAAUACGCCAUUUACAAAAUUCCGAACAACAUUGAGCCUUGAAACGUAUCGUUGUAGACCGUGCAAUCUUGAAAUCAAACUCAUCCCUAAAGGCAACCUUGCGCAAUUGUAAUAUUAACUCAUUCUUCUCAGCGAAUAGCUUACCCACACUGAUAUCAUCUGAGUCACAACUGCUAAGAAAGCUUGGAGCAACCAUGUUUGAAGGCAAAAUUGGAGCAAGACUUGUGAGAGAGUCAAUCCUCCUUCUCGAUCCAACCAUUGCAGGAAUAGAUCGAUUGUCUCUAUUAUUCACAGGAAUAUUAUCUUCACACCAUCCUCAUGCUGAAAUGACGGAAUAUUGGAAGGAUCGACUCCUCCAUUAUCACCUGCAUUAUUGAAAUGAGUGUCAUUCAUACUAUUAGAAAGUUCUGCACAAACAUUAUCCCCCUUUGUCUCAUCAAUAGGAUCAUCAUUGUCACGGAAAUCAUUGUUGUGAUACGGAGAAUACUGUUGCUCCAACGACAUCGUUAGUGGUAAUACCUCUUCUCCAACAUCCUCUAACGUAAUGCCGUUGUCAUCAAUGUUGUCAUUAUUGUCGUGAAUUGGAGAGUAAUAUUGCUGCAAUGACAUUGUCCUUGGCAACACCUCCUUUUCAUUAUCGAGGCCAAACAUAUUUGCUCUAAAGGAAGUUUUUGUUUCGACAAGUGGCUCAACAUCUUCGCUCGGAACUCGAGGUGAUGUGGUAACGAAUAUAGGAAUGCAUCCAUAGUUGGCCACAUUGGAUGCCAUAUGCAACACAACCAUCACCAUUUCAUCAUCAAAUAUAUCCAUGGGCAGUGCACAUCUACAAUAUAAUGUGUUACUAGACCUCAAAGUUGUUUUCAUUGUAAUACUAUAUUCAUUAGGAUUUAUUUGUAACACCUCAUAUAAUCUUGCCAAAAACUGAUCAAACAGAUAAUUUUUCCCAACAAAAAAACUCUAUUUUUACCAUUCACAUACUCCAUACGAUCAUCCUUUAAUGUCUCCCACCAACCAUCAUAACACAAUUCAAGCACAAUUGAAUCCAUUAAGCCUGAAAUUAUAAAAAUAAAAUUAAUUUCGCACUAUCAAAGUAAUAAAGAGUCAGUUGCAAUGAAUCUGCCUUUUGGUGCGAUAGGCUGCCUCGCACGGUUUUGGUGGGACAGGUUGCCCGUCGCACCAAAAAAUAGAGUCGAUGAAUUUGCCUCUUCGUGCGACAUGAGCCUGUCGGAUGAUCUCUUGGUGCAACAGACAGCCUAUCGCACGAAAAUUUCGUGCGACAGGUGCCUGUCGCACCAAGAUGCAAUUGUACUGAAACUCUCUCGCAAGUUGAGAAAAUAACUCUUACCACUCAGUGAUGUAGAUUGGUGUUGGAUCAGGAUCGAUUAUGCUCGGAGUUCACUUUUACCGUUCGCCGUCGGCGUUCGCCGUUGCCUUUUGCCGUCGCCAGUGAUGAUUCAAGAGUGUAAGGCUGCGUUUGGUUUGAUAAAAGGGAAGAAAGAAAGUUGCUUUUGGUUUGUAAACAAGGAUAAUUUGGGGAGAAAAUCUUAUGUUUGACUAAUGUUGAUAGAAAAAAAUUUAGAACGUUAAUUGUGAAAAUAACAAAAGUUUUUGAGUUACUUUGUAAAUUUCCCUUUUCUGCCUGCGCUGUAUGACAUACAGAGAUGCAUGGAAUGUUGACUCCCCAACAUAAUUAGGGGUUGCACGUGCCCUCACACAAGUUUGUCUACAGAAGAAAGGAUACGACUGCUAUGCACCAGUUCCAUUGACAGACUGCGUGGAAUUAAAUAUAUGGAAAAAUAAUAAUAACCGCAGGAUUUAAAGUACUAUACAAUCAACGGUUGAUGUUGAUUAAGGGAAUCGCAAGAACUAGGUGGCCCAGUUGAUGUUGUAGUGAAAAUGGGAGAACUAGGACAUGGCGGCCCAAUAAAUAUGUCUGCGAUGUUUAUGUGAAAUCGGGAAAAAAAAAUGAAGUGAGGAGAAUAGAAAGAAAAAAAAAAGGCAACCCCUGCUCUCGUGAUGGCCUAUGCAAAAAUUAAAAAACAAAAAUCUUAACAAGAAUAUACAUGCCAUUUAUUGACACUGAAUUUUUGUCUAUAUUAUUUUAUAGGGUGGUGAUAUUUUUACCAUACAAAUUCUAUAAAUCCACCGCACUUUUAAAAAUUAAUUAUAAAAGAUUCACAAUAUUUUUAAAAAUUUCAAAUAAAGAAGAAUUCUAAAGAAUUAAUCAAUUAAAUCUAUCUUAAUAUAUAUUUUUUAUAUUUUAAUUUUUUUUUUGUGAUUUAAAUUUUUUUAUUAUAUUUGACUGUUAAGAUUGGUUUAGUCUAAAUCUAAAUUGAUUAUUUUACCCUUAAAAAGUAAACAUACCAAAAAUUUACUUUAACAUUCUUUUUGUUUCAUACAAAAUUCAUUAUUUCCAAAUGGUCAAUUCUACUUUAUUAGUAUGAUUAUUAACCUUUAAUUAAACUAUCGUAAUGUUUUUAUGCACAAUACUCAUGUAAAUUAUUAGACUAUAAAAUUUAUGUUAUAUAAAAGAAAAAUAUUGAAAAUCAUUAGGCUACAAUUAAAAAGUUAGAUUAUAUGUCACAAAAUUAAGUACCUAAAGUAUUACAUAGAAGAACACAUAUUUCUUAGGGCAAUUAGGCCAUUUUAUGUCAUAAAGUAAAAUAAUUAAAUAGAACUUAUAUUAAAGCAACUUUAAUAGUAAAAAUAAACCUAAGAAAGAAAAAAAUAUAAGAAUGAUUUAAUAGAUUAAUUAUACAAAUAUUUUUUAUUUGUAUUUAUUAGAAAUAAAGUACAUUUAUUGUAAAUAAUUAUUUUAUUUCCUCUUUACAGUCAUAAAUUUUUUUCAUUAACCUUUUAUCCUUCAUUUUACUUGUUUAAUUCGUCUUUGCAUGAUUUCAAUUUCAGUAUUACUAUAUCAAAUUAGGAUACCAUUGUAAUAUAAUUUAACUUUGAUAUGCACUAUGGCCUCGCCCAACGCCUAUUCGGGAUCCAUAUAUGACUAGUCUUAAACACCAAAUUAGCAAAUUAUUAUGACCAAAGGAGUGGUUACAAUAGUUUGUAAACAGGUAUGGUUACUUUAAUUACACUAUGAAAUUAGCAAUUUAUUCAAUGUUGAAUUGAUCAUAUAAAUAGAACUAGUUGGAAAUGCAAUUACUUUGGCGAUAGUUGUUUUUCCAUAUAAAUUAUAAUAGUGAAGCACUUUCUUAUCAUGGGCUUCUUUUCCACUCAAAAGCCUCAUCUAGUUUCGAGCGAGCUGAUUGAAAACUUUUUUCAAAUCUCAAUACCCACAUGUACUUUUUUCGAACAUUUUAUAUCGUCUAUGCAAUAUCACCACACACGCUACAUUGAACCAAGCCUCACUGAAUAUAUAUUCAUCGGUAUAGUAUUGAAAUUAUCAAAAGAAUAUUUUUUUGAACCAAUUCAGUAAAAAAAGAUCAAAAAAUAAAUUUAAUCGUACUAAGGUUCAAUUGUUCAAUGGCCAUUUAAAUUAAUAAAUAAUAUUCAUGCCUAACACUAACUAAGAGAUUAACAGUUUUUACCUCUAGAGCAUUUUCGUUAACAUCACUUUGAUUUUCUUCAUCAAGUUUCAUAAUACCAACUCCAAGCCUCUUGCAUCCAAAUCCCACUCUACAGUCUCAUGCUCCACCUGGUCCAAUUUGUUUCUCUCCAUUUAUUUCAAUUCAACUACCAUCCACUAAAAGAAAUUAUAUUAGUCUAGGUUGUGACUUGAAAUGUAUUACUUCAAAAAUAGGAAAACAAAUUUGUUGAAUUUUAUCGUUAAAUAAUUUAGUAAUGACAGAACUAAAUUUGAUCCUAUUUGCCUUUGCAAUGUUAUUAUAUUUAGUUGUAAUUAACAAUAUAUAUAUAAAAAAUCAUGUUAAUACGUUAUAUUUAUCUUCAGUUAAAUAUAUAUAUCAAAGUACAAAUAUGAGGAACAUUUCUUAAUAAAUUUGUGACUUAAUGUUUAGUAUUUGAGACAACAAGAGACCAAUUAGAGUACUUGUGACAUGGAAAAUAACACUUUUGAACAUUAAUAAGCAACAGUUGUGAUGAUAAGAGACUUAACAACAGAACUUGUGACAAGGUGUAAAUAACUUGGAACAUUAACACACAAACAGUGAGAAUUGUGAAUUCAACCGGAAUAACCGGUUACUUUACAAUCAUUUUUGCACAUGUGUAACUUCAACAUGUCAUGGCAAAAUCAACCAUACAUACACCAGAUGCAUAGUAGGCAGACCCUCAGAGAAAUGACCAACAAUUAUUUAUCCUGGAUAAAUUAACUUACAAUUAUUCACAUAAAAAGUAUUUAUAUGGGAUUCACUCACUGUUUAUGUAUGUUACAUAACAUAUAACUUAGGAUCCUUAUACUAUUUGUUUUGUUUUAUUCACAUAACAAUCCGUCAAGCUAAUUGGGACCCACUGAGAAAAGUCCAAGAAGGUUUUCGACGCAUAACGCUUAAGAGAAUCACUUGAUGUAGUGAAAGUCACAUUGGGACCCAGUUGCGUAGAAAUUAGUCCCUCAUCACAUCCAUGUGGAGCCUACGUAUUAAAUAAUGCAAAAACUAUCGUACAAAGUUAAUAUUAUAGAUGAAGAGAUCCCUAACUAAGUUAUAUCACUUAUUUGGGGCCGCCUAUUUGGUAUAAUUUUGUAAUUUAGAUAACUUACAUCAUUAUUCGAGGAAUCAAAGUCCUAAAAUAAAAGAAGACACUUAUGAUCAAUCUUUUCAGUAGGUGUGGUAGAAAAAAUAAAUGCAUUAUGAUACUAUGGAUGAAAUGAUUAAUGCAUGCGUUUACGGUCCACAUUUUGCGAUUAUCCAAAAAGAUGAACAAGGAAAUGUACAAAACACAGAAUUGAAUUGACAAAAGGGGAUAAUAGCAAUAAGAAACUCGUGAUUCAAUCUUUGUCACGAAGUUUGUUGGUGCCUAUCCAGUGAAACAGCAUUCGGCAAAAUAAUCAAUCAUCUAACCUUUGGAGUUUUUCCAAAAAUUAAGUUUUUAUUUAUUUAUUUUAUUACUUAGUCUAACACUAAUCUAACUCCCUCCACGUUACAGAAUUUAAACUCUAAAUCUCUUAUGAUGUAGGACAUUAUUUUAGAAUUAUAAGAUUUUUAUUAUUUUAAGAUUUUUUAUUUUAAUUAGAAUUAACUAUGGUAUGUGUUUAGUCUUUUAUUUCUAUUAUAAUUGUAGAAAUAAAUUCAAAUAAAGUCAUAAAACAAAAAUAAAUUCAAAUAAAGGUAAACUUCUUCUCAAGAUACCGGACGCUCCAUUAAUAUUUUAUCUUUGGACAGACUAUUAACAUAUAAGUGAUAUCUCGGUGCAGCAAUCAAACAUUGAUAAUGAGAACACGUCAAACAAUAAAUUUUCCUUUACACCAAUUUAUUGUUCACAUGCAAAACCAAAAAAUCAUCAUGUAUUUAUUGCCACAAAUGCACAUGCAAUUCUAUCAAAUAUAGAUCUUCCUUUGUGCCGAUUGAUAUCCACAGAAAUUACAUAAAUCCAACUAUAUAUAUAUAUAUAUAUAUAUAUAUAUAUAUAUAUAUUAAUUUACUGAUUUAAUUUUCUUAAUACCAUAAGACAACCACACAUUGUUCUCAAAUUCAACAAUACUGAAAUUAUUAAAUUAGAGAACAUCAAAACUUUAAUUAUUAAUUGCAAAUAAAGUCGAUUCUCAAUUAUUCAAUAUGAAGAGGCUUUGAUUUCACUUGUUAGAACAAUAAUCCUUUGGUGAAAGCCAUCACUUAUAAUUCAGAAACAUUCAUGUUGUAUACUAAGCAACAAUAACAAAAUAUACAGAAGUGUAAUUGAAUCUAUAUUGUACAAUUACUCUCUAGAGUUGUGUAGUUAACAUUCCAGAUCAAUACAUUCUCUUAAAGAACCCUUUAAGUUUAUCUAUGCUCUCUUCCUAAUGAUGGGAUGUCAUAAAGAAUCAAAUAAUAUGUGUGACCUAGGGACUAUAACUACUUAUAUAGAUAACUUUUUCUGCUGUCCAGCCCACCAUAAAAAUAGAAAUUAUCCGUAAGUAUCUACACAUUAAAAGCUCACUGCUCACACCCUAUUAAAUACAUUGAAACUCAUAUUAUUGUAAAUGUUAAUAAAUCACUUUUAAUUGGACUAACUUUAUAUGAUAGUUUGUAACGAGUAAUUAUUUACAUAUAAGAUCAACAUUAGAUUAAGGAUCCAAUAAUGUUGACUUAAAGAUCCAACAAUUAGAGGUGACUAGUUACUAAGAAAAGAAAUAAAAAAUGAAAAUCAAGAUAUUUUGAUGAGAAAGUCAUGUCCACGCGCCUAAUUGAUUGAUCAGUAUGCAACAGUGCAGUGACCAUCUAUCUAUUCCUUCAAGCUCUAUAAAUAGCAAGCUCUUGUGCUUUAAUUUCCACCUGUCUAACAGCCUUCAAAAUAAUUGAAAAUUAAUCAACAAUGAAGAACACAGUACUAGCACUAGCUUUCUUCGUCUUUCUCUUUGCCUUUGCUGCAAAACCAUCUUUGGCUGCUCGUCAUGAGCCGUUAGUGCUUCAUUCCGAUGGCCAGGAGCUCCUCAUGGCUACCAGCAAUUGCGAUAUCGUAACUCAAUUUGAGUGUAAUGGUACGUAAUUAUUAUUGAGGACAUUAUCCUAACAAUUACUGGGUUAAUAAUACAACUGAGCUAAUUUUUUAAUAUGAGUUAGGUCCAUGUACUUUUAAAAUAUGGCAAUAAUUGGCUGUUGAACAAGUUUUAACCACUUAGUAAUUCAUAUAUGAAAUAUAACUGCAGGCAAGAGCUCAUGGCCAGAACUGGUUGGUGUAAACGGGGAGAUUGCUGCUGCUACGAUACAGAAAGAGAAUCCUAAAGUUCAUGCAAUCAUAAUACUUGAGGGAACUCCAGUUACACAAGAUUUUCGUUGUGAUCGGGUUCGAGUUGUGGUUGACAAAUAUGAGAAGGUGGUUCAAGUUCCUCGGAUUGGCUGAACUUCGACGAUUAUCUGCAAUCAUCAUGGCUGGAUGGAUGGUUAGGAUUAACUGCUUGUUUAUAAUCACUUAACUAUGUAUUAGUAAAAUAAAUGAACAAGUAGUGUUGUUUAAUAAAGCAUGCAUGGAUGUGCGUGAUAUCCAACAAUCGGGUUCUACGAAUGAGUGUAAUAAUACAACCUUUAUGUCUACACUUUUUAUUUUUAAUUUUUUUUCCCCUUGAUAAGAAAGCACGCUUUCACAGAAUCAUACUAAGAAAAAGGAUACAAGAGAUGAGUUGGGCAAGUCCCCAAAAAAACACCAGAAAGCUAAUUUUGCGAUUACAAGUUCUAGAAGUAUGUUGAAUUAUAGCAUAACUUAGUCUCCGAAGCUUUUCUUGAACUUCAGAAAUAGCCCAAAAAAUCUCCAGCUUGCUGUUCUUCUUGUUAGCAAUUAAAUUUAUUACGUCUUGCCAAUCUGUUUCGAGUAUCAGUGGUACACUUGUUGCCUCUUCUGCAAUUUCCUAGCCCUAAUUAGUUGCUUCAGCUUUUGCAGAUGCUACACUGUCAUAGUAUUUUGACUUCUUCACUCAGCAGCUACAAACUCUCCAUUGUGAUUCCUGGUGACAAUCCCAGGCUUAGCAUUGAUUUUUAGACUUGAUGGUGGCAUCCACGUUCACUUUGAACCAGCUUUUAAGAGGGAGUGUCCAGCUUGGCUGAGUUGCAGACACUUGCCUUGAACUUGCUUUCAUUUGAGGGGCUUUAAUUUUUAUGUAGGACUCAACUGUUACUUCAGCUUUAGCCACUAAUACCUGAGAAUCUUCUUCUUCUUUGUUUUUUUUCCAAAGAUGAAAAGAUUUCUGGAGUGUCAAAUAACCCAAAUAGGCCAUUGCAUAUUAAUCAGAGGUUGAAUCGCGACAGAAUUACAAAGCAAACCACGUAGUCAAAUACAAAUACAAACAUGAAGGCUCAUGUUGCACCCUUUAUCUGUCCUACGCACUAAUGACGUCAUUUCUGAUAAAUGAAUGAAGACUAUAUGUUACUAUAACAUGCCAACACUAAAAUUUCUUGAUAAGAUUUAGACGAUGGCGAAAAUAAAAUUAUUCAAUAAUUAAAUUAAUGAUUUUGUAGAAGUAUAUCGGCCUAAUUCAUACUAAAAAACUAGCUUAGGAGUUGGGGUUGCCCAAACCUACCAACACUAAAAUUUUUUAUAAAAAUUAAACAAUGAUGGAAAAUUUAAAUAAUUGUAAAAAAAUUGAUUAUAUAGAAACCCAUAUGCCUAACUUAUACUCAAAAGUUAACUUAAAAUUUGAGGGUUACCCAAACCUUAUAUAUUUAACCCGCGAAUAAUCUUCAGUCGAUGUGGUAUAUUGCUUCUAACAUCACCCAUCAAGGGCAUACUAGUCCUUUUGUUUAGUCUUUAUCACGUGGUAAAAGUAGUAUUAAUCCUCAAUCGAUGUGGGAUCAAUAUUGUCCCUAACACCCCGGUUGCAAGUAGAUUGGUUUUUUGGUUUGGCCCUUGUCACCUGGUAAGAUAGUAUUCAUUAUCAACCGAUAUGAUAUAUUGCCCCUAAGACCCUUAGUCAUGAGCAAAUUGGUCUUUUAGUCUAGUCCUUAUCACUUGGUGAGAUAGUGUUCACCUUUAGUCAAUGUAGGAUAUUGUCCCUCCCCUAUCACAUGUAGACUAGUCUUUUAGUUUGGUUGUUGUCACAUGGUACAUUCGUGCAUGACAGUGGCUCAAAUAUCAUAUGGAAGUUCAUAAAUCUUUCUCAUACUUAAAAACUUGUUCAAUAGUUGAAGGUUACCCAAACAUUAUAUACUUAACACAAGUCUCAUCCUCAGUCGAUGUAAAAUAUUUUCCCUAACAAAUUGUCUCCACUUUGAUUAUUGAUUAAAAAAGAUUAAUUGUCCAUGAACAUAAAAAUUGAUUGACUCACUUUUGCUAAUUAAUAAUAAGUCAUCCUUAUUUGUGAUAUGGGCGCUCAAAUAAUAGUAAAUUUUAUUACAAUAGGAAUGUUCAAAAUAAAUUUUAAAGUGCAAAUAACUCUACAUCUUUUCUUUUUAUACUCAACUAACUCUACAAUAUGUAAUUUUUUACAGGGUAAAAAUUUUUUUUGUCCUUAUAUUUUGAGGUUGGUUCUCAUUUAGUCUUUAUAUUUUUAAAAUACCUUAAAAUGUUUCUGUCGUUAAAUUAUUGAUACCCAUGUCAUUACCUUUUAUUCCUUUUGAUUUGUUUUUAUAAUAUUACCCUCUUACAAGAAUGUUUCUUUUUUUUGGGGACAUUAAUAAAAGGGGGAUUGCCAAUUUCCCCCUUACAGUAAUCAAUAUAUACCAUUUCCCCCCCUACUAUUUUUAUAAUGGCUAAAAACCCCCUUGACAGCAUAAAUUUACAAUAUUACCCUUAUUUUCAACUACUCUUUUAUUUACAUUUAUUAUAAAUUAAAUAAAUUGCAUGAAUAGAAACUAAAUAAAAAAAUUAAGUAUUAAAAAUAAGAAAUAUAUGUUUUGAUAUAAGAAAAAAUUAAUAAUAAAUUUUUUUUGUAAUUAUUUAUUUUGUGAACAUUUUCUUAUAAUAAAAUUUUGUAAUAUUUUAAAAUUAGAUGUAAAAAAUAUGGGCAAAAUAUUUUAUUAUUUAUCUUAUAAUAAAUUUUUAUUUUUCAUUCAAGUUUUUUAUAAUAAUUUUUUUAUCAUUUUAUAAUAAUUUUCUUAUAUAUUUAUUAUAAGAAAAUUUUCAAAAAAUAAAUAAGUACAAGAAAAAAAAUUUUCAUCACAUCCAUGUAGAGCCUACAUAUUAAAUAAUAUAAGACCAUCAUACACGAUCGAUAUUAUAGAUGAAAAAAAAUUAAGAGAUUCCUUACAUAAUAAUAAUGUAAGUUAUAUUUAUCAUAAUGUUGCAUUAAAUAAGUAUAGAAUUGUAUUAAAUAAAUUAUAUUUAACUUGUUUAGUGGAACUUUGUAAUUAAUGUAAUUUACAUAUUAUGUAAGGAUUAAAGUCCUGAAAUAAAAGAAGAAGAAACUUAUGAUCAAUCUUUUACGUAGGUGUGGCAGAAAAAAUAAAUAAAUGCAUUAUGAUAUUAUGGAUGAAAUGAUUGAUGCAUGUGUCUACGGUCUACAUUUUGUAAAUAUCCAAAAAGAUAAAUGCAUGUGUUUAUGGUCCAAAAAAAAAAAAAAAACAAUAAGAAACUCGUGAUUCAAUCUUUGCCACAAAGUUUGUUGGUGGCUAUCCAAUGAAACACUAUUCGGCAAAAUAAUAAUUCACCCAACUUUUUCAUCUUUUCUAAAAAUUAAUUAAUUAUUAUUUUGUUAUUUAGUAUAAGAGGUACAAUUAUUUACGGGAACAAAAUGAGGCUUAUCCUAAGCAAGAACAUAACAUCAGACGAAAGCGAAAGAGAAAGAGAAAAAAAAAUUAAAAAAAAAAUAGCACUCUGAAAGAAAGCGAGAAGCAUAAAUCAAAGAAACUGAUAACUGGGAAUCUAUUAACAUCAUUACAAAGUAACUCUUGCAUAGCAAUAGGCGGCCUUUUCUAUCAAGUAAAAUCAGAACAGUGGAGAUCGGCCAUCGUACUAUUUGCUGCGCAAGUGUGAGUGCAUAAAAAAUUCGCGGUUGAGAUGUUAAUUUUUCUUCACUGAAAUUAAUAUAUAUUAUUUAUUUUUUUAUAAUUUUUAUAAUAGUUAAUAAUUUUUCUGACAGUAUAAUUUUACAGUAUUAUUCUUAUUUUUUAAAUACAUUUUUAUUUAUACUUAUUAUAAAUUAAAUAAAUCAUAAAAAUAGAAAUUAAAAUGUAUUUUUUGAAGUGAACAAAAAAUUAAUAAAUUGACGAUUUUCUUAUACUUUUUUUUAAAUGUUUGGUUAUAAUAAAUAUAUCUUUUAUAUUUUCAAGUUAAAUUAUCAAGAAAAUAACCCAUUUAUACCACUUUUCCUUUAAACAUUUGGUGGUAAGAAAAUUUUGGCUAUUAUAAAUAUCAUACAGUGUAAGUGAUACAUGUUAAUUUCAAUAAACGAAAAAAUUGACAAUCUCUUAAAUUUCAUAUCUAAGAGUUUGACCUUACAAUUCUACCAAUGAUUUUUGAGACACCAAGGAGAACCCAAAGAACCUAUAUGUAGGAAACUAACAAUCACAACUGAAUCACUCAAGCCAAAGAUUAUACGAUAUUUUGCGAUCCUCUAUCAAAGGCCAAUUCAAUUACCAUGAAAGCAGCCAAAAGCUCUGAAAAAUAUGCUGAAUUUUUAACCUCAUGCCAAUCCAAAACCACCCAAAUGAUUCCUAAAAGCUCCACCUCAAGCCAAUUGUACGGUUUCCUUUCGAUAAGCCGUCUGAAUCCGCCUUAAUCCAUCAAAGAUUGAGGUGGAUGAUUUAUAAUCAAACAAACUAAGAGGCUAGUUUGGGAUUGUGGUGGCUGAUAAAAUAAACUACUUCUAUUGAUACAGAUGAAAUAAGCAGCUGAUUAGAAAAGUAGCUUGGUGUUUGGUUAACUGUGUUAUUAUGGUUGCUGUGAGUUUGAAAAGUAAAAUACACAUGUUUAAUAAAUUUUAUUACAAAAGUGUUAUUUUAUUAUAUAAUGAAUAAAAUAGACAAAAGUUUAAACUGCCUUUUACUUUUGUAUGUUUAAUAAAUUGUGUAGACAUGCCUUUUUUCUUUUUAAAGCACAUAAAAUUACAAAAAGUGCAGAAAACUCAAUUGAAUAAUAUCUAAUGAACUUCAUAAUCUGUCAUAUAAAAUAUAAUAAAAAUUCAUACUCAUACAUAAUCUGAAUAAAAUAAAAAGAAAUAUGCAUACUUUCACAUUAAACUUGUUAUAAUAAUAAUCCUCAAAUUUUUCAUUCUUGUGAUCCAGAACCAUUAAUAUUGUAAUACUCUUCUUGAAUGCCAUCAUCUCUUUCUAUUCCUUUAUCAAAGAUUGAAUUAGGAUAAUUUUCAAUGUUGUCAAAAUAAAGACCAUAUUGUGCAUGCCUCCUCGUAUAAUUGUGUAAUGUCAUGGCUGCAAUGACAUAAUUGUUAUUAGUGUAAUUUGAUUGUGGCAGUAAUAUAAUAUCUAAUGGUUCAUAUAUUAGAAAAUUGUGGUUGCUUAUUUAAUAAGUUGCUUAUAAAAAAUAAAUCCUUACUUGCUUUUAAAAGUUGUUAUCAAAAUAUAAAAAAUUACGAAAUAAGUAAUUUUUAUAAAAAAUUACGAAAUAAGUAAUUUUUAUAAAAUUUAUCAAACACUAUUUUUGUAAAAAUUAUGAAAUAAGCAUCUUAUUGAGUUUCAACCUUAAUUUACAAAUAGUGCCUAAGUAACUUUGCCAAAAUUGAGAGGAAUUCCGAGGAAAAAAAGAAUAAUGUUUAGUAUAUUUAUAAUAAAGGACAAGGCUCAUUAUGUUCCCUUAAUUUGUGCUAUUUUUUUUAUUAGUUUUCAAUAAAUUCCUUGGAUCAUUUAAAAAAAUAUAUAUCAAUCAACACUAAAUUUAAUAGCCCCCAGGGGUAACUAAAAAUAAGAUGGAUAACGCAAGUAUGAAAAUCUUCUAGCUCCAAUAAUUAAAUUAAAAUAACUAAUAAGUUGUGAUUUUUUCCUUAUGUCUAUAUGUUGGUGUGUAACGAGUAAUUAAAAAAAAUCUAAUUAAAAUUGAAAGACCUUUUUUGUUGUGAUGGCAAGAUUAUAUGUAUAUUACCCAAGUGUCAUCCCGGAAAAUAAAAAAUAAAACCAUUCACAAGAGAUCUUCUUUUUGAAAACUAAAUCACUUGAGAUAUGGAACUUUUAAAUAAUCAUGCCACAAAGGAAUACAAACCGUUGCAUUCUACGGUGCAUAUAGAUUUUGGAAGACCGUCCUAAUUUUCUUGUCAAGUUCAUCUGAAUUAAACAAUUUUCUAUAAUUUCACAAGUCAACUGGUUUACUUUAAUUUGUUCCUUUUUUGAAUCGACCGUUUAGUCCCAAAGACACAGCAAAUUCACCCAUGAUUUCUUGUUAUUUCUAUCAAUGAACUGGGACCAUUCAUUUGACAAUAUGACAGGUCCGUUUAUUGCGUUUUCUCCGCACACUAGGACUGAAUGAUAAGGCAUCGUCCGAUUAUGUGGUGUGGAUUUUAAGGGCAUUUUAUCUCGUGUCUUAUUACUAUUGUUUGCAUCUUAUACCAGAUUGAUUUGGAUGAAGAGAAAGAUUUCAAAGAAUUAUUAGUUUGAAUCCACUUUUCUACCUCUAAAUUUUCCAUGGGCCGCAAUCCACGGCGCAUAUUGAACCAGGUGGGGUCUAAUAACUACUGAGAAUAAGAUCAUGUGUUUAUCAUUUGGGUUCAGUUAUAUUAAAAUUCACCUAUAUAGAGCAUGAAUCUUAACCAUACAUACAAAGUAAUAAAUAAUAAAUUAUAAAUUAUAAUUAAUUUUUUAUAAUUAAUUUUUUUUAUGUAUAAUUAAAAUUCGUACUUCACCUGGGCUCCAACAAAAUCAUAUUCUUAUCAUUUUCUAUUUUCUAUAAGGUAGCUGGUAUUGGUCGAAAUUAUAUUUCAUGUUUACAGCUGCGAUUUCAAUUACGGUCGAGAAAUGGCCGACAAUUUUUUUUUAUUUGUUUUGUUUUAUUCACAUAACAACCGCUCAAGUCAAAUCAAAAGUCGGAUAAGAUUUUCCAUAUCUAAAGCAAAAGCCAGAUGGAUAAUUAUAUACGACAGUGAUCAUGUUGUAUUAGCCUAUAUAUAUUGGUUUUGGCAAGAUGACAAUUCGUACGGCAAUACAAAUGCUUGAUCUUAUCAGAUCGAUGAUUGCGAUUGUGUUUUCGCCGCGUAAUAUGACUUAAUGACAAGGCAAACGUCCGAUUCUGCGGUAUAGAUUUCAUGAACUAUGUUCAUCAUGCGUUUCCUAUGACAAUUACCAGAAUUGAUUUGGAUGAGAGCGACUUUAGGGAAUUAUUAGUUUGUGUGAUGGUCCAUACUGAAAAUAUAUGCAUCAGCAAUUUAACGUAUGAAAUAAAGAAAUAAUAGCCAUUAUAACGAGUCCGGUUGCAAGUGCUGAAAGGAUCGAUUAAUAAUAUACAGAAUCUUCUUCAGAUAAAAAUCAAGAAAUUAAUCGGAUCAAUCUUUGGUGGGGGCGGUAAUGUUUGAUGUGGCUUAAGAAAAGUGAUGAUAUUUGACCCCUCAAUAUAUUUCAACAGCCCACUUCUUAGUUAUCUCUAUUAAUUUUCAAAAUACCCUUAUUCAUUUAGUUUUUUUUUUUUGGUCUUAUUCAUUUAAUUUAACUCUGCAGCUCCAAACUCAUUGAAUUUCAAGUCACAUGUUGGCCAACAAUGGUCUUGGAACUGAAAAUAUGACUUUUCAUAAGUUAUUGUAGACACAUAGUACUUAUAUUAAAAGCAUUAACUCACUAAAAUAAAUAAAUCAAUACAAAUUGCAAACGGAAAAAAAAAAAACAAAAAGCCACAGAAACUAUUAGAAACCUUGGAGAAUGAUGGCUGAGUCAUUGGAUUGUUGGUAUCAGUAUUGUCUUCGUAAAGCAAACGCGCUAAUUUUCAAUCUUUAAUAUAAAAAUCAAUUGUUGUGAUGGGUGUUUGGCAGGAAAGGAAAUGAAAGAAGUGAAGGAGAAUGAGAGAUAGGGGAGAGAAAAAAAAUGGGUACUUUUUGAAAAUAAAAAUUAUUUUAGUAAGUAUUUUAGACAUUUUAAGUUAAAUAUGACUUAAUGAGAUAAGUUUUGGAGGUCAAAUAUCACUAUUUCCUUAAAAAAGAGUGAAGCUAUUGGCGCCCCCUCAUUAUCUUUAUAAAAUCCUGCCUAAAAUAAAAUUAUAGUUAAGGAUAAAAAAAUGUGUGUUUGGUAUGACUUAUCUAAAUAUUAUAAAUACUUAUUUAAUCUUGUAAGCUCUUAUUAAAAUUUAUUUUGUUGUUUGAUUUUUUUUUUGUAAAGUUUUUAAAGCUUAAAAAGUUAUCUUACCUUUACUAGCAAAAAUUUAAAUUUUGGGUUUUUUAGAAUAGAGAUUAAAUAAUUUUUUAAAUGUUAAAAUAUCUAAAAUAUCUUCUACUUAUUUGAUAAUCUUAUUUUAUUCUUUCUAUAACAUAACUUUUAGAAAUUUACCUAUUAAAGUAAUUUUAUAAUUUUUAAUAAAAACUAUCAUUGACCACUAAAUAACUAAAAGAAAUUAUUUACAAAAAUUAAUUCUACAAAUUAAAAUAACUUACCUCCCCGGCAACGGCGCCAAAAACUUGUUUUGUAAAUUUUAUUGAACUCGCAAGUACACGAAUCUAUUGUAAUAUAGAUUAAUGGUGACGAGUGUCGAUCCCACGAGGAGGUGGAUUUUAAUUGUGUGUAGAAUUAAUUUUUCUAAGUGGGUGGUUGGAUUUGUGGUAAAGAUCAUUUGGAAUAUUCUAAAAUUAAAAUUAAAAUGAUGAUAAUAAAUUGAAGUGAAGAUCUAUUGAAAUGACGUACUUUGGUAUCUGGAUCCGCAUCAACAUGCACCAUGGGCUAAAUAUUCCUUAUUAAUGCUAAUUAAAUCAUGAGGGGGGAUUUUCACUCCUCAUGAACCACACUCUAAUCAAUAUGGUGCUUAGGGCUUAUCGUGCCAAAUAAUAAUAACCUUGUACUAGGGAGCCGGUGAAACCAGAGCGGUAUCUAGACAAUAUUAUUAUUAUUUGUCGACGAAAAGUCAAAACAUCCACAAUAAUUAGAGGGGAAUAGAAAGUAAAUUUACCAAAUAAAGCCCAUGACACAUGUUGAGACUUCACCUUCAACCCAAGCUUGAAAGAAAAUUAGCUACUCAUAAUUGAACUAUGGGCAAAAUGAGAAUUUAUUAAAAUAUAUAGAAAAUACAAGAUGGAGAAUGAAUUACAGAAAAUGGAGCUCAAAAAUGGAUUCAGGGAUGCCAAAUUAGGGGGGGAGACCUAUUUUUAUAGAUACAUUGAGUAAAUCAUGGCAAUCGAAUUAAAAACAAUUUGGACGCUUAGGAUUGUGUCACGUCAUCAGUUAACAGUACGCAGUUUGACCACGUGAUUUGAACAGUCAAUCGGCUUAAACAGUGACGCGGUUUGGUUGAAAAUAAUCCUGUGUAUAUGCAUGUACCGUACGCGUGAUUUUUGGUCCACUAACAUGCUACCACGCCACCGAUCAACAGUGCAUAAGAAUUUUCUCCAAUGGAAUCGUGACACCUCAUCAGUCAAUGCCACAUCGUCAGUCAAUGCCACGUCAUCAUUCCGAAUGUGUGAACAGUGUCGUGAACAGUAACAUGGACAGUACCGUACAUGUGAACAAUGUUAUUUUUCCUUUUAUGCUCCUCCUAAGGUUUUCGACUGUCCUCAGUUCAAAAGUAAUCUCCGUUUUGCUGUAUGAAUUCUUGUUCAUUGUAAAAUGACCAUGAUACCCUUAAAAUACAUAAAAUACUUAAUUAAAAUAAAACACAUAUAAUUAAAUUACAAGAGACUAAAAUACAUAAAAGUAGAAGUGUUAGUAAGACUUGAAAUAUAAAAUGACAAUUUUCUCCUUUAUAAGUAUACACUUUCUAAUACUCAACAAUAUACCUGCAAAUCUGGGUAGAAAUCAUUUUCUAGCAAGAGUUUCCAACCCUUUCUCACCAAUAUGAUCAAUGUUGUGCAAAUUUUAUUGAACUCGCAAGCGCACGAAUCUAUUGUAGAAUAGACUAAUGGUGACGAGUGUCGAUCCCACGAGGAGGUGGAUUUUAAUUAUGUGUAGAAUUAAUUUUGUAAAUGGGUGGUUGGAUUUGUGGUGGAAGUGAUUUAAAUUAUCCUAAAAUUGGAAUUGAAAUGACGAGAAUAAAUUCUAAAAUUGGAAUUGCAAUGGGGAGAAUAAAUUAAAGAGAAAUCUAUUGAAAUGACGUACUUGGGUAUCUGGAUCCGUAUCAACAUACACCAUUGGCUAAAUAUUCCUUAUUAAUGCCAAUUAAAUCAUGAGGGGGGUUUCCACACCUCAUGAACCACGCUCUAAUCAAUAUGGUGCUAAGGGCUUAUCGUGCCAAAUAAUAAUAAUCUUGUACUAGGGAGCCGGUGAAACCAAGGCGGUACUAAACAAGAUUAUUAUUAUUUGUCGACGAUAAGUCAAAACAUCCACAAAAACUAGAGGGGAAGAGAAAAUAAAUUUACCAAAUAAAGCCCAUGACACAUGUUGAGACUUCACCUUCAAUCCAAGCUUGAAAGAAAAUUAGCCACUCAUAAUUGAACUAGGGGCAAAAUGGAAAUUUAUUAAAAUACGUAGAAAAUACAAGAUGGAGAAGGAAUUACAGAAAAUGGAUCCCAAAAAUGGAUUCAUAGAUAUCAAAUUAGGGGGGGAAGCCCUCUUUUUAUAGAUACAUGGAGUAAAUCAUGGCCAUCGAAUUAAAAAUAAUUUGGACGCUUAGGAUUGUGCCACGUCAUCAGUCAACAGUGCGCGGUUUGACCACGUGGAUGAACAGUAACACGGUUUGACCCGGGUGAACAGUGACACGGUUUGGUUGAAAAUAAUCCUGUGUGAUGCAUGUACCGUACGCAAGAUUUUUCGUCCACUGAUAUGCUGCCACGUCACCAUCAACAGUACAUAAGAAUUUUAGCCCAACAGGAUCGUGACACCUCAUCAGUCAAUGCCACAUCAUUGGUCAAUGCCACGCCAUCGAUCCGUCUAUGUGAACAGUAUCAUGAAUAGUAAUGUAGACAGUACCAUAUAAGUGAAUAGUACCGUACAUGUGAAUAGUGCCAUUUUUCCUUUUAUGCUCCUCCUAAGGUUUUUGACCAUCCUGAGUUCAAAAGUGAUGUCCGUUUUGCCGUCUGAUCUCUCGUUUAUUGUGAAAUGACCACGAUACCCCUAAAAUACAUAAAAUACUUAAUUAAAAUAAAACACACAUAAUUAAAUUACAAGAGGCUUAAAUACAUAAAAGUAAGGGUUGUUAGUAAGACUUGAAAUGUAAAAUGACGAUUUUCUCCUUUAUAAAUAUGCAUUUUCUAACACUCAACACACCCCCAACCAGCUUAUUGCUAGUCCCUAGCAAAUAAAGUGAAAACAAAAUUCAAAUCCAAAAUGAUUUUUUUUUUUAAUAGAAACACUCGUGUUUAUUCAAUCAGAUUAAUGAUAGCAAUCAAAUAAAAGUAUAAACAUUAUCUCCAGUCUAAAGAAACAUCACACCCACAUCAACCAUCCACAUGAAUCAGCCCAGUAGACUUUGUUAUAGCUACUUUCAAGAAUGACAUGUCAAACCCCAAAAUCUCACUGGAAGUAGUGACACUCUCACAAAGAAAUUAAACCCAAUAAAAAUAGUCACUCCAAUGAAUGGUAAUUGAGAGAAAAUAAUAAAGAAAUGAUAUCACAUGCUCUCACCAAGAUGAAAGAAAUAUGCCCUCAGCUUAGAAAUAAUACGAUCUCAAGUCAAACAAAAAUGCUAGUCAACCCAUUUUAUUUAUCUUUUUUUAUUAUUAUUAUUAUGCACUACUACAUCUUUUUAGCCCAUAUAACUAACUUCUACUUCAAACUAUAGUUCCCUAAAAUCAAGAAGGACUUUUGUUAAGACGUAACGUAGGCUAGGGACAUGGCUAACACGGAAGGGAAAUAAGGAAAACAAAAUAUAUGUUUGAGAAAAAUGCAGAGAAUUUUUUUUUUUUGAAGUUGCAAGGUGUAUUUCACCUAUUGUUGUUAUUUUUAUUCUUUUGAAACAACAACUUUUGUUUUGUUUUUUAUUAUUAUUAUUUUUAUUUGGCAUAACUUCACUGAACAAAAUAAUUAUUUAUAUUUUCUCAAACAUAAAUAGGUGAUGGAACUUAUAAGACAUCGGGUAAUACUCCAAAUCGGAGUGGGUCAAGAUGAUAAGUUGACAAAGAAAAUAUUUUUUUUUUUUAAAGGCUCAAAAGGGUUAACUAUGAAUAUUUAAUAAAGGGAUGACUAGAAAUGCUCAAACAGAUCAAAGAUGGCAUUUUCAUCGUCUUUUAGGGCUCUAAAUAAUCAUCCAUAUCUACUAGUUAGAUGGGCCUCCCAAUGUAGCAAUACAUUUUUUUUUUUUUUUUUUUUUAUUUUACAAUUUUUUUUUUUAGGGUUAACUCAAAAGAAAUCUAGAGAUCGUGUAUAAAAUAAUAAACUUCUAAGCUGUAUAGAGAAUGAGCAAAAGGGUUACUCUCCAAGAAAAUGAUAGGCUCAACAACUCACUUGACAUUUAUUUAUGACAUGUUCAUUCCUUCAAGCAACUCAUAUUUGUCUCCGACAUCAACAUGUAAAGUAGCAAACAUAGCGUAACAUUACUUAAGACCAAAGAUAAUACAAAUACUAAAAUUUGAAAUUAAUCAUGUCAUUCAAUGUUAAAACAAAUCACACAAUUUUUUUUUUUAAACAACAUCUACCCCCCAACCUAUUCUAAGUAUGAAAGGAAAAUAUGCAAGCAGAAAUGUGAAUAUGAUGCAGAAAAACUAAUUAGAAAAGUUACACUUAAAAUGAUAGAAAAAGAAAAUGGUUUUUUUUUAAAGGCUCAAAAGUUUGAAAAUGUAUAUUUAUAGAGGAGAAAUUAAAAAAAGGAAUAAAACAAUUUUUUUUUGUUUUUUUUAAUUUUUUUUUUCAAACGAUGAAGAUGCGUUUCUAUAGUCACUACACUCCAUAUUUAGCCAUCUUCAACACAAAAAGUUAGCAACAGUUAGUUUCUACAACAAAAAAUCAAUAAAAACUUAACCAAGAUUCCACAAUUGUCGAUUAUUCCCUCCCCCCAACCAGAACGAAACAUUGUCCUCAAUAUUUGAAAGGAAAGAAGUAGAGUUUAGAAGACAUCACCUGGGUUGUGCAACACAGAAGAAAAUAUUUACAGGCGGAGAGUUAAAUCUAAUUUGUACUUCUUACUGCGGCUACUGUUACCAUCAUUAUUUGGACGCUCCAACACAAAGGUCUAGGGGUCUGGCUCCGGUCUAUAAGCUUGUAACAUAUCAAGUAGCUCAUUAGCAGUGUGAGAACAAAUAAAGAGUUUUUUCGCAUUGGAAUGAAUGAAAUAGUUUUUUAUUGCAUGGUUAAGAAAUCGAUAAAGCCAUCAUAAAAGUUAUUGACAUUUAACAAACCGAUGGGUUACUGGUGGAUGUGCAGAUGGGCCCAAGAUGCUAGUGUGAUAAGUGCCUCUAGUGUUGCAAGAUCUCCUGGAAGGAAAAUAAAAGCAUUAGCAUGAUUAAGCAGUUCAGUUAUUCUUUCUUGCAUACCUGAGACGACUAACUCUUCUCCAGUCGAUGAGUCAGACAAACUGCCCAAAGGUUUUAGAGCUCUUGGGAUGAUGCCUAACACUUGGCUUCCUCUGAUAAAAGCAGCUUCUGAGACCAAUUUUAAUAACCCUCGGUUACCUCCUCCAUACACCAAGUGUAAUUUUCUCUCUGCUAUGCUUCGACCAAGAUCUAUGGCUGCCUUAACGAACUCUUUAUGUUUGCCAUAGGUAAAUCCAGAAAGCACACAAAUGUUCUUGAAUUGUCUAUUGGGAGUAGCUGCCAUUGGAAUACUUCUCAAAAACAAUUUGUGAGUGCUUGACAAAAAAUCACAUUUAAGAGUCUUGGUGACAGUGGGUCACAGUUGUGUAUGAGGUAACAUGUCAGUGUCAAAUAACGCGAAAAAAAGAAAACAGUAAAAAGGAAAAAGCAAACAGUAAUAAAAUUAUUAAAGACAAUAAUGCACACAAUAACCCAAUAGUGAAAUAAAAUAACAGUAAAGUAAAAGGAUAUUUACAGGUAGUUGCGAUUGUGGCUCACAUCUUCCUCUGAUUUUACGUCCAGAAACGGCUUGAACGCCCUCUAUGGGUCGAGGAUAGGCUUCCCAUCGAGUUUUCUUAUAAACUGGCAAACAGGGUCGUUUAUAGUCAGAUCCCGAGACUAUAUCGUGCAUGCUCUUUCUGGAAUAAUGGCCAUAACUGGAGAAUCGCUCCUUGCACAUAUCCACUGGGAUGCGUUUCAAGAGACAGAAGGAUAUCAUCCAAUGACUCCUUAUUCAAGCCAUCCCUAAUGAAUUGAAUCUUAUUUUCCCUGUUAUCAGACACCAUUCCUAAAGAACAUGGGUUUUUAUCGCAACUCAUUCUGGCACACUUAUGACAAGCAACAGAAAUUCUUCGAGCUCGUCGUUUUCUUACAUAAUUUCCUUUACCACAACCAGGCAUGUAUGCAAUAAAUUUUGGAGGUAACUCACCUGCCGAUCGUACUUUAGCCUCGAUUAACCAACGGAUGUCAGCAGGUAUGUUAUUCCUCAUGAGUAAUCGCAUGCGUUCGGACCGAGCUUUAUAGAUCGUAAGGAGGGCAUUAUGAGAAAGUGAAGGGAAUCGCUUGUGAAGCUUCGCUAGAAUGUCGUUUCAGUCCAUACUUUCGCCUCAGAAUAUCAGUUAUUAUGGAAAACUGAAGUAACCGACUUGAUUGUCACGGAGUACCGUUAUCUGCCACUUCAUUGGGGUAACAAACUAAAGUACACAAACAGAAAAACAAAUUAAAACACACAAAGAAAAUUAAAAUCGUCCUCUUAUUGAAUUUACCUCAAGCUCCAUCUGGAUGUCGUAAACACUUCUCUCAAUGUCUCUGAGUUGGCUUUCUAAACCCUCAACAUAGGCUACUAACUCUGGUGGCUGUAGAGCCCAAAUGCGAUGUGUUUUACAAAAUUGAAUCUGCCUUUUGAGAUGAGUUUUGACACAUUGAAGUGGUUUAAGAAUGUUUAGGAGGAACGGUCUAAGUAAGGUACUCAUGAUUAAAAAUGAUAAGAGAAAACUUAAUGGUAAAACAAAUACACUUAUGCAAAAAUAAUUUCAAUUAGCAAAUAAAAAGAAAGAAAGAAAAAUCAAAUCAACGAAAAGAAAAAAAAAUCAAUUCAAAUAUGGUGGGUCACUCAAAUUUAUUUCGGUGUCUUCUCCAUGUGGUUGGUACUCUAGAUAUGGCUUUAAUCUUUGACCAUUAACUUUAAACGCGACACCGUUCUUUGGGUCCUUAAUUUCAAUUGCCCCAUGUUGAAAAACAGUAUGAACAAUAAAGGGACCAGAUCAUCGAGAGCGUAACUUACCUGGGAAUAGGUGCAAGCGAGAAUUGAAUAAAAGCACUUUCUGACCUGGAGUGAAAGAUUUUCUCAUAAUGUGCUUAUCAUGAACGACUUUCAUUCGUUACUUGUAAAUUUUGGCAUUUUCGUAUGCAUCAUUGCGAAUUUCUUUAAGUUCUGCCAGUUGUAAUCUUCUUUCUGAGUUGGCUUGUUGCAUGUCAAAGUUGAAUUUCUUGAUGGCCCAAUAUGCACAAUGCUCGAGUUCCACAGGUAGGUGGCAAGCUUUUCCAUACACUAGCUUGUAGGGUGAUAUCCCAAUCGGGGUCUUGAAAGCCGUUCUAUAUGCCCAUAAUACAUCAUCAAGUCUUAAUGACCAAUCUUUUCUGUCCGGCCUCAUCGUCUUUUCUAAUAUGUGCUUUAUUUCUCGAUUGGAGAUCUCAACUUGGCCACUGGUUUGCGGAUGAUAUGGGGUCGCCACUUUGUGUGUGAUGGAAUACUUUGUCAAAAGAGUUUUGAAUGAUUUGUUACAAAAGUGGGCACCACCAUCACUGAUUAUUGCUCGAGGAAAUCCAAAGCGCGAAACAAUAUUGCUUUUCAAAAAUCCUAUCACCACCUUGUGAUCAUUAGAUCUACAUGGAAUUGCUUAUACCCAUUUCGAUACGUAGUCAACAGCAACCAAUAUGUAUUGAUGACCAAAAGAAGGGGGAAAUGGUCCCAUGAAGUCGAUACCCCAUACGUCAAAAAUCUCAACCACUAAAAUUGGAUUUAGUGGCAUCAUGUUCCUUCGUGUAAUGCUCCCCAUUCGUUGACACCUAUCACAUGAAGAACAGAAAGUGUAAGCAUCUCGAAAUAUAGUUAGCCAAUAGAAACCACAUUGUAAAACUUUAGUCGCUAUUUUCUUAGCACUGAAAUAGCCUUCACAAGCUUGUUCAUGGCAAAAUGAAAGAAUAUUCUGAAUUUCAUUUUCUGGGACACAUCGUCUAACAAUUUGAUCUGCACAAUACUUGAACAAAUACGGGUCAUCCCAAAAGAAAUUCUUUAUUUCUGCAAAGAAUUUAGCCUUGUCUUGCUUGGUCCAAUGCUCUGAAAGUUUACCUGUAACAAGAUAAUUAACUAUAUCAGCAUACCAAGGUAAUACUUCCACACUCAUUAAUUGUUCAUCUGGAAAUGACUCAUUCAAUAUUAAUGGCUCUGUAAUUGUGUCAAAAUGGAGACGAGAGAGGUGGUUCGCCACAACAUUUUCUGUCCAUUUCUUAUCUUUGAAUUCCAAGUCAAAUUCCUGCAAAAGUAACACCCAACGAAUUAGUCUAGCUUUUGCAUCUUUCUUUGUGAGAAGUUAUUUAAGAGCAGCAUGAUCUGUGAAUAUAAUUAUUUUACAACCAAUGACAUAAGAUCGAAAUUUCUUUAAUGCAAACACUACUGCUAGCAAUUCUUUUUCAGUAGUUGAAUAGUUCAACUGUGCAUCAUUCAAUGUCAUACUAGCAUAGUAAAUAACGUGGGGAAUUCGAUCAACUCUUUGUCUUAAAACUGCUCCUACUGUAUAAUCAGAUGCAUCACACAUGAGCUCAAAUGGUAAGCUCCAAUUUGAGGGCUGGAUGAUGGGUGAUGAUGUCAACAAUUGCUUUAAUUUUUCAAAAGCCACAAGACAUGAAUCAUUAAAGAUAAAAGGUACAUCCUUAGCAAGUAGUUUGCAUAAGGGUCUAGAAACUUUGCUAAAAUCUUUAAUGAAACGUUUAUAAAAGCCAGCAUGCCCAAGGAAAGAUCUUACUUCUUUGACUGUUUUGGGUGGAGGAAGAUUAGAAAUAAGAUCCACCUUGGCUUUGUCAACCUCAAUACCUUUGCUCGAAAUGAUGUGACCGAGAACAAUACUUUGUUCUACCAUAAAAUGGCACUUCUCCCAAUUCAAGACUAAGUUCUUUUCGAUACAUCUCUGUAGAACUAAUGUUAGAUGAUGUAAACAUUGAUCAAAUGAAUCACCAAAGACAGAAAAGUCAUCCAUAAAAACUUCAAGGAAUCGUUCAACCAUAUCAGAAAAAAUGCUUAACAUGCAUCGUUGAAAUGUAGCAGGUGCAUUACAUAAUCCAAAUGGCAUUCUCCUAUAUGCAAAAGUGACAAAAAGGAAAGUGAAAGUGGUCUUUUUUUGAUCUUUUGGUGCUAUGAGAAUCUGAUUAUAUCCUGAGUAGCCAUCUAGAAAGCAAUAAAAUUCAUGGCCUGCUAAUCUAUCAAACAUUUGAUCAAUAAAUGGUAAAGGAAAAUGGUCUUUACGUGUGACAGAAUUCAACUUUCUAUAAGGAAUGCAUACACGCCAUCCUGUAGUUACUCUAGUGGGUAUCAAUUCAUUAUCGGCAUUGGUAACUACUGUGACUCCUGACUUUUUAGGGACAACUUGUACAGGACUGACCCAUGAACUAUCAGAAAUGGGGUAAAUGAUACCUGCAUCUAAUAGCUUAAGGACUUCAGUUCUAACAACUUCUUUCAUAUUAGGAUUUAACCAACGUUGCAUUUCCCUAGUAGAUUUAGCAUUUUCAUCGGGGUGAAUGUAAUGCAUGUAGUCUACUGGGUUUAUACCUUUUAUGUCCGCUAUGGUCCAUCCUAAUGCCCCUUUGUGCUCUUUUAAAAUAUCCAACAACUUACCUUUUUGUUCGUCGUUUAGGGAUGAUGAGAUGAUUACCGGUAAAGUACUUUCUUGUCCCAAAAACGCAUAUUCCAAUGUGUUGGGUAAUGGUUUGAGCUCGAGUUUCGGUGGUGAUUCUGAUGAUGGGAUGAGUUUCUUCUCUGAUGGUGCUAGUUGUUCAACUCUUGACUUUCAUUUAUUAGUGUCCAUGGAUGGUACUGAGUCAAGCAGGGUGUUGACCUCAUCAACCGAUCUGUCAAUAUCAAAAUCCAAACCAAAAUGAGUUAAGCAUGUUUGUAAAGGGUCAUCACUGAGGUUUGAAAGAAAAGUAUCAUCAACUAAUGCUUCAAUUAAAUCCACAUCCACAAUUUCAUCAUCUGCAUUGUGAGGUUGUUUGGCAAUGUUGAAGAUGUUCAGCUCCAUAGUCAUGUUGUCGAAGGACAACUGCAUAUUUCCAGUCCUGCAUUGAAUGUGAGCAUCUGCAGUUGCCAAGAAAGGUCGGCCUAGAAUAAUGGGGAUGUGCUUCCUUGAAUCCUGUAUUGGUUGAGUGUCAAUUACAAUGAAAUCAACGUGAAAAUAAAACUUGUCUACCUGGAUAAGCACGUCCUCCACAAUACUACAAGGUAUUUUCAUCGACCGAUCUGCAAGCUGUAACACCACUGGAGUUGGGUGUAAUUCUCCCAGUCCAAGUUUCACGAAUACUGAAUAAGGCAACAAAUUUACACUAGCUCCUAAAUCCAACAAAGCAUUCUCAAUUGUGUGGUUCCCUAUACUACAUGAGAUAGUGGGGGAGCCUGGGUCUUUGCAUUUUAAAGGAAUUUUAUGUUGGAGUAUAGAACUAACGUUUUCUGUUAAAAAUGCCUUCUUUUGAACAUGAAUGUUUCUUUUUUUAGUACAAAGAUCUUUAAGAAACUUGGCAUAAGAUGGAACUUGUUUUAUAGCAUCAAGUAAAGGGAUGUUAACACUUACCUGUUUGAGGAUUUCAAGAAUCUCACCUGUGGAUUUUCCCUUCUUUCCUUUCGCUAACCUUUGAGGAAAUGGAGCUUUGGGAACAUAUUCGCGUUGGUUUGUUUCUUCUUUCUCCUUUGGUGAUGAGUCUUCAACAUUCACAGGUACAAUUUGAUUUUCUUUUGUCACCGGCAUCUCCACUUUGUUGUCGACUUCUUUUCCUUUUCGCAAGGUCAUGACAGCUUUGACCUCUCCAUGCUGUUGUGGUGAACUGGUACUUGCUUCAUGUACUCCUUUCGGAUUAGGCACUGGUUGACCUGGAAAUUUACCUUUCUCAACAGUCAUUGCCAAGGUCUGAACUGAAGAAGCAAGUUGUCCCACCAUCUUCUCGAGGCUUGAAACUGAUUAGGCUUGUGACUUGAAGCCCGCUCUCAACUCAUUUCGUAAUCCAUCAAUGGUGCUGUUCUGUUGCUCAAUCGUGGAGUGAGUAAGAUUCUUGAGAUUCUGGAAUGAAUCCUCCCAUGGUCUGGGUUGAGAGUAGUUCUGGUUUUGAUUGUAUGGUCUAAAUGGUGGCUGAGAGGCUUGAGGAUUUUGAGGAAUUUGUUGCAUUGGUGGAGCUGGAGCUGCUCGUCCAUUCUGUUGGAAUCCUUGAGACCAUGAAAAAUUGGGGUGGUCUCUCCAUCUAGGGUUAUAUGUGUUGGAGUAUGGGUUGUAAUUUGAUGGUUUUCUCAUUACUCCUAUGGCAUUGGCUUGAUCAGAGUAUGAGUCAUGGUCAUGUGGUUCUGUUGAUUUAGCAGUCGAUAACGAUGCUAUUUGUCGAGCAAGACCUUCAACCAUCUCAUUGACUUCUUUGAUUCCCGAAGUUGACUCGCCAAUUUGAACCUCACUUACUCCCUUAAUUCUUCUAGUAUUCCUAAGUGAUCGACUCCAUUGUUGGGAAUUAUCCGCUUGUCGCUGGAAGAAUUUCCAAAUCUCUGUUGCACUUUUUGACAUUAACUCUCCUCCACUUGUUACCAUUAGUCAUUCUUACACGUUCGGCAAUAAUCCCUCCAAAAAGUAUUGGCAUUGGUGCCAUUUCUCGUACCCAUGAUGUGGACACUUCAAGAGUAGCCCAUUAAAUCGCUCCCAUGUUUCGGAAAACUGCUCGUCUUCUCCCUGGGUAAACUCUGAGAUUUCCCGGCGAAUAGCAUUGGUUUUAUACACUGGGAAAUAUUUAUUCAAAAAUUUAGUUACCAUUUGUUCCCAUGAUGUGAUGCUAUUGGCAGGUAAUGUAUUUAACCAUGAACGAGCUCUAUCCUUUAAAGAAAAUGGGAAUAAUCUGAGUUUAACAUCAUCGUCUGAAAAAUUUUCAUAUUUAAAAGUUUGACAAAUUGCAUGAAAAUCAUUCAGAUGAUUAUAUGGGUCCUCAUUUUCUAGGUCAUAGAAUGUUGGGAGACAAUUUAGCACACUAGGUUUUAGUUCAAAACUCUUAGCAGCUACAUUUGGGUAUCUUAUGCAUGAUGUGCUCAAAUUAGCUAAGGGACUGAAAUAAUCCUUAAAUGGCCUCUCCUGUGGUUGCAAAUCCAUUUUAUUUUUAACUUGUUUGUGUGUGCGAAGUGUUUUAUCAAGUUCAAGGUCUAUAGGUUCAAGAUUAGGUAAUAAUGACCUACGACCAUGCAUGCAAAACAAAUAAAAUAAAAAUAAAGAUGGGAACAAAAUAAAUAAAAAUAAAGAAGAAAGAGAAAUUACGAUACUAACCUUAUCACGCUGUUACAACCUUUCUAUAAAAACACACUAAAACAAAUACGUGAAAUAAAUUAACUAAAAAUUAAAUUAAUAAGAUAAACAAAAAAAAAUUAUAAAGAAAAAUAAAUUGAAAAAUAAAUUACAGAAUUUUAAAGAAGAGAAAAAGAAAAGAAAUACUAACCUUUAAAUGUAGAUUCAUUUUUUUCUUUUUUUUUAAAGAAAAAAAAUACAAGAAAACAAUUAAAUGGAAUUAUUCACAAAAAUUAAUUCUAUGAAUUAAAAUUACUUACCUCCCUGGCAACGGCGCCAAAAACUUGUUGUGCAAAUUUUAUUGAACUCGCAAGCGCACGAAUCUAUUGUAGAAUAGACUAAUGGUGACGAGUGUCGAUCCCACGAGGAGGUGGAUUUUAAUUAUGUGUAGAAUUAAUUUUGUAAAUGGGUGGUUGGAUUUGUGGUGGAAGUGAUUUAAAUUAUCCUAAAAUUGGAAUUGAAAUGGCGAGAAUAAAUUCUAAAAUUGGAAUUGCAAUGGCGAGAAUAAAUUGAAGAGAAAUCUAUUGAAAUGACGUACUUGGGUAUCUGGAUCCGUAUCAACAUGCACCAUGGGCUAAAUAUUCCUUAUUAAUGCCAAUUAAAUCAUGAGGGGGGUUUCCACACCUCAUGAACCACGCUCUAAUCAAUAUGGUGCUAAGGGCUUAUAGUGCCAAAUAAUAAUAACUUUGUACUAGGGAGCCGGUGAAACCAAGGCGGUACUAAACAAGAUUAUUAUUAUUUGUCGACGAUAAGUCAAAACAUCCACAAAAACUAAAGGGGAAGAGAAAAUAAAUUUACCAAAUAAAGCCCAUGACACAUGUUGAGACUUCACCUUCAACCCAAGCUUGAAAGAAAAUUAGCUACUCAUAAUUGAACUAGGGGCAAAAUGGAAAUUUAUUAAAAUAUGUAGAAAAUACAAGAUGGAGAAGGAAUUACAGAAAAUGGAUCCCAAAAAUGGAUUCAGAGAUAUCAAAUUAGGGGGGGGAAGCCCUUUUUUUAUAGAUACAUUGAGUAAAUCAUGGCCAUCGGAUUAAAAAUAAUUUGGACGCUCAGGAUUGCGCCACGUCAUCAGUCAACAGUAUGCGGUUUGACCACGUGGAUGAACAGUAACACGUUUGACCCGGGUGAACAGUGACGCGGUUUGGUUGAAAAUAAUCCUGUGUGAUGCAUGUACCGUACGCGAGAUUUUUCGUCCACUGAUAUGCUGCCACGUCACCAUCAACAGUACAUAAGAAUUUUAGCCCAACAGGAUCGUGACACCUCAUCAGUCAAUGCCACAUCAUCGGUCAAUGCCACGUCAUCGAUCCAUCUAUGUGAACAGUGUCAUGAACAGUAACGUAGACAGUACCGUACAUGUGAAUAGUACAUUUUUCCUUUUAUGCUCCUCCUAAGGUUUUCGACCGUCCUGAGUUCAAAAGUGAUGUCCGUUUUGCCGUCUAAUCUCUCGUUUAAUGUGAAAUGACCAUGAUGCCCCUAAAAUACAUAAAAUACUUAAUUAAAAUAAAACACACAUAAUUAAAUUACAAGAGGCUUAAAUACAUAAAAGUAAGGGUUGUUAGUAAGACUUGAAAUGUAAAAUGACGAUUUUCUCUUUUAUAAAUAUGCAUUUUCUAACACUCAACAAUCAAUCCUUUUAUGUCAUAUCUCAAUGUCAGAAUCUUUUACAGCCACAUUCACAUCUUCUUUCUUGAUCUUGGGUUCUAUAAGAUAGACAUCGUUUACUUUCCUCUCCUUAGCUAACACUAGGGAGCCUUUGGCGAGAUUCCAUUUUCCUUUACCAAAUUGGUUAGUAUAACCAUCAUCAUCAAACUUGCCUGUAGAGAUCAAAUUAAGGCGAAUAUUUGGUACAUGUCUAACAUCUUUAAGUAAUAACUUAUAGCCAAUUAUGGUCUCUAAGCAAAUAUCUUCUAUGCCCACAAUUAUGGAUGCCCCCUCAUUUCCCAUCCGAACAUGCCCAUAAUCACGAUGUGCAGUAACAUGAAAUGAAGCACUCGAAUUAAUUACCAAUCACUAGUAUGGAAAGUGAGAUUUACUGAGCUCUCAUCAUAAACAAUAUCUAAAUCACCAUCAACUAUGGCUGGAAUUUCUAAUUUAGUUCCUUCCCCGCCUUUCUUGCUUUUUUGAAACAAGUGCAUCUGACUCAGAGGGAACUGCUUCAACACUCUUUCUUUUAGAUUCUUCAUUCCGCAACUUAUCUGUAACUAUAUGCAAAGUUAAUUUUUUCAUUCAGCGCUGAAUUAUUCACUAGCAGUACUAAUAUCUCUCAAUUGUCAAGCAAAAUUUGGUAAAAAAAGAGUUGAAGAGAUUAACCCAAAAGUUGGAACAACUUACAAAGAAUUUGAUAAAUUUUAAUGAAAAGUUGGGAUCUAAAAACAAAACUUGAUAUAUUUACCCAAAUGUUGGAAUCCAAUAAAAUGAGGGGGAAUAUAAAACCAAUAAAUGGUGGGAAAAUGAGUGGAAGAGCAUAACCCAGAAGUUGGAACGACAUGAUGAGAAUUUGAUAAAUUCCAAUGAAAAAUGGAUAUUUGAAAAAUAAACCUGAAACAUUCAUGCAAAUAUUGGAAUUCAGUAAAAAGAGUAUGAAUAUCAAACCAAAAUUUGGCGGGAAUAAGAGCUGAAGAGGUUAACCCCCAGGUUACUUUUAAUGGAAAGUAACGAUCUAAAAACCGAACCUAAUAUAUUUACGCAAAAUGUUAGAAUUCGAUAAAAAGAGUAAGAAUGUAGUACCAAAAGGUGGUGGAAAAAUAAGUUGGAACAACUUACCAAAGACUAGAUAAAGUCUAAUGGAAUGUAGAGAUAUAAAAAAUAAACCUAAAUAUCCACUUAAAAAGUUGGAAUUUAAUGAAAAAAGUGAAAAUAUGGAACCAAAUGUUGGUGGAAAAAUGAGUUAAAAAUAAACACUGAAUUUUUGUCUAUAAUAUUUUAUAGUGUGGUGAUAUUUUUACCACACAAAUUCUAUAAAUCCACUGCACUUUUAAAAAUUAAUUAUAAAAGAUUCACAUUAUUUUUAAAAAUUUCAAAUAAAGAAGAAUUCUAAAGAAUUAAUCAAUUAAAUCUAUCUUAAUAUAUAUUUUUUAUAUUUUAAUUUAUUUUUUUUAUUUAGAUUUUUUUAUUACAUUUGACUAUUAAGAUUGCUUUAGUCUAAAUCGAAAUUGAUUAUUUUACCCUUAAAAAGUAAACAUACCAAAAGUUUACUUUAACAUUCUUUUUGUUUUAUACAAAAUUCAUUAUUUCCAAAUGGUCAAUUCUACUUUAUUUGUAUGAUUAUUAACUUUUAAUUAAACUAAGGUAAUAUUUUUAUGCAAAAUACUCAUGUAAAUUAUUAGACUAUCAAAUUUAUGUUAUAUACAAGUAAAAUAUUGAAAAUCAUUAGGCUGCAAUUAAAAAGUUAGAUUAUAUGUCACAAAAUUAAGUACCUAAAGUAUUACAUAGAAGAACACAUUUUUCUUAGGGUGAUUAGGUCAUUUUAUGUCAUAAAGUAAAAUAAUUAAAUAGAACUUAUAUUAAAGCAACUUUAAUAGUAAAAAUAAACCUAAGAAAGAAAAAAAUAUAAGAAUGAUUUAAUAGAUUAAUUAUAAAAAUAUUUUUUAUUUGUAUUUAUUAGAAAUAAAGUACAUUUAUUGUAAAUAAUUAUUUUAUUUCCUCUUUACAGUCAUAAAUUUUUUUCAUUAACCUUUUAUCCUUCAUUUUACUCGUUUAAUUCGUCUUUGCAUGAUUUCAAUUUCAGUAUUACUAUAUCAAAUUAGGAUACCAUUGUAAUAUAAUUUAACUUUGAUAUGCACUAUGGCCUCGCCCAACGCCUAUUCGGGAUCCAAUAUGACUAGUCUCAAACACCAAAUUAGCAAAUUAUUAUGACCAAAGGAGUGGUUACAAUAGUUUGUAAACAGGUAUGGUUACUUUAAUUACACUAUGAAAUUAGCAAUUUAUUCAAUGUUGAAUUGAUCAUAUAAAUAGAACUAGUUGGAAAUGCAAUUACUUUGGCGAUAGUUGUUUUUCCAUAUAAAUUAUAAUAGUGAAGCACUUUCUUAUCACGGGCUUCUUUUCCACUCAAAAGCCUCAUCUAGUUUCGAGCGAGCUGAUUGAAAACUUUUUUCAAAUCUCAAUGCCCACAUGUACUUUUUUCGAACAUUUUAUAUCGUUUAUGCAAUAUCACCACACACGCUACAUUGAACCAAGCCUCACUGAAUAUAUAUUCAUCGGUAUAGUAUUGAAAUUAUCAAAAGAACAUUUUUUUGAAACAAUUCAGUAAAAAAAGAUCAAAAAAUAAAUUUAAUCGUACUAAGGUUCAAUUGUUCAAUGGCCAUUUAAAUUAAUAAAUAAUAUUCAUGCCUAACACUAACUAAGAGAUUAACAGUUUUUACCUCUAGAGCAUUUUCGUUAACAUCACUUUGAUUUUCUUCAUCAAGUUUCAUAAUACCAACUCCAAGCCUCUUGCAUCCAAAUCCCACUCUACAGUCUCAUGCUCCACCUGGUCCAAUUUGUUUCUCUCCAUUUAUUUCAAUUCAACAACCAUCCACUAAAAGAAAUUAUAUUAGUCUAGGUUGUGACUUGAAAUGUAUUACUUCAAAAAUAGGAAAACAAAUUUGUUGAAUUUUAUCGUUAAAUAAUUUAGUAAUGACAGAAUUAAAUUUGAUCCUAUUUGCCUUUGCAAUGUUAUUAUAUUUAGUUGUAAUUAACAAUAUAUAUAUAUAUAUCAUGUUAAUACGUUAUAUUUAUCUUCAGUUAAAUAUAUAUAUCAAAGUACAAAUAUGAGGAACAUUUCUUAAUAAAUUUGUGACCUAAUGUUUAGUAUUUGAGACAACAAGAGACCAAUUAGACUACUUGUGACAUGGAAAAUAACACUUUUGAACAUUAAUAAGCAACAGUUGUGAUGAUAAGAGACUUAACAACAGAACUUGUGACAGGGUGUAAAUAACUUGGAACAUUAACACACAAACAGUGAGAAUUGUGAAUUCAACCGGAAUAACUGGUUACUUUACAAUCAUUAUUGCACAUGUGUAACUUCAACAUGUCAUGGCAAAAUCAACCAUACAUACACUAGAUGCAUAGUAGGCAGACCCUCAGAGAAAUGGCCAACAAUUAUUUAUCCUGUGGCAAAACCGAAAUUACAUGUGAUGUAACUUACAACUAUUUACAUAAACAGUAUUUACCCGGGGUGAUCCUUAUCCUAUUUGUUUUGUUUUGUUUUGUUCACAUAACAAUCCGUCAGGUCAAUUGGGAUCCACUGAGAAAAGUCUAAGAAGGUUUUCGACGCAUAACGCUUAAGAGAAUCACGUGAUGUAGUGAAAGUCACAUUGGGACCCACUUGCGUAGAAAAUAGUCCCUCAUCACAUCCAUGUGGAGCCUACGUACAAAGUUAGUAUUAUAGAUGAAGAAAUCCCUAAAUAAGUUCUAUCACUUAUUUUAUUUGGUAUAAUUUUGUAAUUUAGAUAACUUACAUCAUUAUUCGAGGAAUCAAAGUCCUAAAAUAAAAGAAGAAGACACUUAUAAUCAAUCUUUUCAGUAGGUGUGGUAGAAAAAAUAAAUGCAUUAUGAUAUUAUGGAUGAAAUGAUUAAUGCAUGCGUUUACGGUCCACAUUUUGCGAUUAUCCAAAAAGAUGAACAAGGAAAUGUACAAAACACAGAAUUGAAUUGACAAAAGGAGAUAAUAGCAAUAAGAAACUCGUGAUUCAAUCUUUGCCACGAAGUUUGUCGGUGCCUAUCCAAUGUCGGCAAAAUAAUCAAUCAUCUAACCUUUGGAGUUUUUCCAAAAAUUAAGUUUUUAUUUAUUUAUUUUAUUACUUAAUCUAACACUAAUCUAACUCGCUCCACGCUACAGGAUUUAAACUCUAAAUCUCUUAUGACGUAGGACAUUAUUUUAGAAUUAUAAGAUUUUUAUUAUUUAAAUUUUUUUUUAAUUAGAGUUAACUAUGUAUUUAGUUUUUUAUUUUUAUUAUAAUUAUAAUUUACUUUCUUUUUUAGUUAACUUAGAAACAUAAGUUUACUUUAUUAUAAAUAAAUAAAAAUUUAUUGUAAUUUUAACCUUUGAUCAAUUAAUAAAAUUCCUCUUUAUAAUUUUCUUUAGAAUUAUCUGUCAAAAAUCUCUCUUGUAAUGAUGGAACUUGGUAUCCCGUGAAGUCGCACAAUUUGAGCCAUAAAAACCUUGGCCACUGUCAUAGCUGUAUAUGGAUGUUUCAAAGCGACGAAGUGUGCAUAUUUUGACAUAGGAUCCACGACAACCAUGAUGACAGUGUAUCCUUGUGAUGUUGGAAGCCCAUCUAUGAAAUCCAUAAAAAUUGAGGUCCUGAUUCUGUCUGGAAUCUGUAAAGGUUGAAGAAGUCCUACUGGUUGGAGAUUCUCUACCUUACAUCACUGACAAACUUCACAGUGCCUUAUGAAUUUCUUGAUCUUUGCACGCAUUCUAGGCUAAUAAAAACUAGAUUUAAGUCGGUUGAGAGUUUUUUGAUAGCCAAAAUGUCCUCGAAUUGGUGAGGAAUGUGCUUCCUUUAAAAUAGCUUGUAAAAAUGAUGAAGCGGGACUCAAAUAAAGCUUUCCAUGUUUGUACCAAACUCCAUCUCAUUGAAUAAGUGGCUGAGUUGAAUUAGACAACUGACUAUAAAAGGAUCGUGUGCUACCUCAUUCUGUAGAGUUGCCCACUAAUCAGCUAAAGGAAGAGAGAUUGAUGAAAAUUCAAGCUCUACUAAUCGUGAUAAAGCGUCGGCACCUCGAUUUUUUGAUAUUUUUUUUGCAUUGAAUUGUAUAAUCAUAGCCAAGAAUUUUUGGCAACCAUCAUGUCUGAGCCAUGGUUGUAAUGCGUUGUUCCAUUAAAAAUUUUAGGCUCUUUUGGUCUGUACGAACAAUGAAAGGUUUACCCAACAAAUAGGGACGCCAUUUGCAAAUUGCCUUGACGAUUGCAAGCAUCUCUUUCUCGCACGUGGACAAGACCAACAUAGAACCCUGGAGUGCCUCACUAAAAAAUGCUACUGGCUUGUCAUUUUGUGAUGAUAUAGCUCCAAUAUCGACUCCACAAGCAUCACGCUCGACAACAAAUGGCUGUGAAAAGUCCUGCAAUCGAAGAACAUGAGGAGAUGUUAAUGCGUGCUUCAACUGAGUGAAGGCAGAUUCUGCUUCUGAGGUCCAAUGAAAGCCUUCCUUUGUUAAUAGCCUAGUUAAAGGUGUUGCAAUUCCCCCAAAGCCUCGAAUGAACUUGCGGUAAUAACUCGCUAAUCUAAGAAAGCCCCUUACUUCUUUAGUCGAUGAUGGAAUUGGCCACUCAAGUACGGUUUGAAUUUUCUUUGGAUCAACAGCCACUCCUACAAGGGAAAUAAGAUGACCCAAAUACUCUACCUGCAAAACUCCAAAACAACACUUUGAUUUUUUUAAAACAGAGAGUUAUCAGAUAAAAUCUGCAAAACUGUUUUAAGAUGGAAAAUAUGAUUUGCCCAAGUUUUGUUGUACACCAAAAUAUCAUUAAAAAAACUAAGAAUUGAGACAAUCAAUCAUUUAAUUUAUUAUUUUGUUUCUAUUGAUUUUUUUUAUUCUUAUUAUGCCGAAUAUAUUAGCUCUAAAAUCUAUUAUCACCAUACAAUGUUUUAAAAAAUAUCUAUUGUAAUAAAAAAAUAUCUAUUGUAAUAAGGAUUCUUAGAAUUUCAUAGAUUUUCAAAGAUUGAGUUAAUCAUUUUUAAUGUUGAUGUUGCCAUAGAUUGUUGUUAUAGAUAUAUGAACAAAAGAUGAGUAAAUGUAUGUAUGUGAGUGUACUGUGUGUGUGUAUUCUUAAGUACGGGCGUCCUUUUUUUUUUCUUAAAGCGGAUACGUUAUUAGGUCAUAUGAUUUAAUAGAGUUAGUAUUCAAUUCAGAAUAAUGUGUCCGUAUGAAAAAAAAAAUGAGAGCUCCCGCAUGAGAGAAUGACUAUACAUAUAUAUAUAUAUAUAUAUGUCAUUUUGUUUCAGCGAAAAUCCAAUACAUGAAUGAAAACAAAAAAGAAUAUUUUCCUAAAUACUUUUUUCUGCUAGAAAUUAUUGCAGGUAUUAAUUGAUUUAACAAUUAGAUCAUUGGAGUUAUUGUAUUAUUAAUUUAGGAUUUAUCACUACUAGAAAAAUAGUCUUUACUGACUUUAGAAUAGUGUCAGAAAUUAUUUUCACUGACACUUGUUAAUUGUGUCAGUAAUCUGGGAGUCAGAAAAAUAGUGACAUUUAUAAGUGGUGUCAGUGAUUACUAUUACUACAGUAUCACCGAUAUUAUGACACCAUAGUGUUAGUAUAUAUUAACACCAUUAGUCUAUUCUACACCAUUAUGACACAAAAUAAAAAAAAAAGAAAUUGAUUUAUAUCACAAAAUCUUUCAUUUCACAUUUAAAUAUUAUUAGUAUAUAUUACAAAUUCCAAAACUUCAAUAACAAAAAUAUGAGAUAUCCUACUCUCAUAACUAAAUAAUCCAAAUUCAAUACAUAAAAAUUUCUACCAUCCAAUCAAAUGCCUACUACUUGUGGCUAAAUUUAAUAAAUCUAGAAGCUAAAUUGAGAAUGAUGAUUGCCUUUCACUCUUUGAAUAUGAGUAGUAUAAUUGCGUUAUCACACCAGCAGCUUCUCCAUUCAAUAGACUGUAUGGGUUAGGAUAUAAGUGAAGUUGAGGAAUAAACACUUCAAACACAUUGAUCAAGUCUGCAUAUGAAUACAUGGAAAAGAAAAAAAAAAUUAGCUGCCAAUAUUCAGCCAUUAGAGAAACAAUAAUUAACAGAAUAAAAUUAUUUUGUUCCAAAGAAAAAAAAUACUCAUAAGCUAUUUAUAAAUAAACUCAAUUAUUCUCUUUUGGUAAAGGUUAUAUCUAUAGCAAACUAUAGCAGACAAGAAGUUUUCAAUGUAAUAUCUACUUUCAGCACAAGCUUGUUACUCUAUCUACAUAUACCAAAUGAUUUUUGUGCAUAGUUAAAAGCUAUCACAAAUGUUCUAUUAUAAAUAAAUCAUUCCAAAAUCAUUACUUAUAAACAAGUCUUAUGAUUUUGGCCAUGAAUCUUAUAAAAUUUAAGAUACUUAAUACAUUGGAAUGAUAUUUUCCUAUUUUUAACAACACAUAUGAAUGAACAAUGUAUUAAAAUUUGAGGUUAUUCUGAUAUUAUUAUGUUGAUGUUUUGUAAGAUCAAAAGUUAAUAAAUAAUUAUGUCAAAAGAACUUGCUGCAGAGCAGCAGAGUUUAAAAAAUCAUUAAAAAUAACCUGCAAGUUCAAUCAACAUAAAAAUUUUCAGAUUUGAAGUAUGCAUAUAGAACUUUAGUUUCUCCGAAUUUCAGCUCAUUCAGAUAUGUUUAGACUAUCGUUUUGCACCACCAAACAUGAUACAUGAGUAAUUUAUGAAAGAUUGGACAGCAACCAACCAUUUUACAAAAUCGAUUAAAAAUCAGUUAUAGACCCAAUUCAUUCCAAAAUUUCCAGAACUGAAACAUACACAUUUAACUUUAAUUAUUUCAAACAUAUGGUAAACACAAUAUUUCCCAAAGUAGAUAUAAUGAAGGUUAUUUGGUGCCAAUAAAAGAAAAGAAAGUAGCAGAGAAAAAAACACAAUAAAAGCUAAAUCUUUACCUUCUUGUUUCUUCCAAGUAGCCAAAGAAACAAUACCUUCUAGUUUCUUCCAAGUAGCCAAAGAAACAUAGAAGCUCUUCUCCAAAUCACUUAUUUAAACCUAAAAGAACAAUUAAAACAAAAAAAAAAACUCAAGAUCUAAUGACAAUAAAAGAGACCCGAAAUCAUAAAAUAAGAAAAGAAAUAAGAAGUGUGGAUUUUGAAGGCAAAUGGUGAACUUGUGCCAUCGGUUUGACAGGAUCAUGGCUGAGCACUUUUUGACAAUUUUUUUUUUUUAACCCAAAAAUGCCAAGCUGAUGUUUUCUCAUAUUAAUCAAUACAUUAAUAGAAUCAAAUUGAAGUUGUAAGAACUAAAAACCAGAAUGGGGAACACAAGAGAGAAAUUCUAUGCUGCAUUCUCCUUCUUGAGUUUUGCAAGCUCAUGUCGAAUAAGUCCACCCUUCUUGAUCUUUGCCAACAUGAGCUUGAACCUAUCAAAAUCAUUCAGUGCCGCUCUCCUUUUCUGGACAAUCAGCUUCUUGCCCCAAGAGUUGUUUUCCCAUUUGUUCUUCACAUCAGCCUUCUCCAUGGCUUCAAUCAAAGACUUCUUCCUAGGAACUCGAUUGAUGUCAAUCUUAAUAUCCGUGAGAGAAAGCCUCUUGAAGUUCAUUUGGCUCCUCACCCUAUCAGGGGCAUCAACAAGAGCCUAUAAAGCAUCACAAAAAUAAUAACAAUUGUAUACAACUAAAAAAUAAACGAAACAGUUCAAAAUUCAAAGAAAUCCAAGCUAAAAUCACUCUGUUUACAAAAGCACAUCAACUUUCUAAUUUUCUAUUUUUGUACAGAAAAAAAAGAAGGGGUACCAGCUAUCAUCAACUAAACCAAAAUAUUCAGAAUUCUUGUGACAAUUUUAUAAGAUUCAACUCAAAUAAAGCAUAAGCGUAAAGUGAAUAAAGGUACCCUGUUUUGAUCAAGGACAUCGACGAUGACCACAAGCUUCCCAUAGUCCUUGCCGUAAUUAACGAGAGCAACUCUUCCUAUCUCCACGUAUAAACUUUCAAUUAUCAACUACUUGUUGAAAAAAAAAAACUAUGAGAGAUUCAAGUCAAUUAAUCACUGUGUUGGUUAAUAUAAUAUUGUAAAUAUUCUGAGCAAACACAAUUAUUUAUUUCUAAAAUUGGAACAUCAUUCCGGGCAAAUGGAUGAACAAGCAAAGUUAGUUGGAUUCUCCAUUGUCUAGACACAAGAAACCAACCAAGAAAACAAGAACAAUAGUCAAGGUUCACUUAUAUAUAAAAUAACUAUUGAACGAUACUUUUGAGCCUACGUAUACUGCUACACUUCUAUUAGCCGACAUGGCUGGCCUAUUACUUCCAGUCAUGCAUAGCAGCCUCAUGACUUUGCUGCUCAGGUUGCAGUUGGCCACGCUGAGGCUGCUCCUGCAUCUUCGUUCUGCUGCUGAUGCUGCAUCUGGAACAUCUGAUGAUUAAUGGAAAGCUGCUGAGCCAUGCUGCUUGAAAGUUGGGCCUCUCCAUUGACCUCUGCAGUAGUGAGCUUCAGUCUCUGUACUUCUGCAGCUAAUGCCUCGUUUAAAGCUGCCAAAUCAAGCACAAAGUAGGAUGCAUAACUAACAGAAAACCCCUUUUUAUGACAGCGUGAUCCUAAAAUAGUUUAUUAAUCCAUAAGUAAAAACUAAGAAAAUCCAUUAACUUGCAUUGGAAGAUGGAGAUAAAUCUAACACGAGUCAAGAUGCCCUUAAUUGCAUAAAUAGAGGACAAGUAACAAACCGAACUAGUGCAAUGAUCAACACUGGUCUCACUGCCCCCAAUCAAAAGCACAAGGACAAAGUAUCAAUCCUGAGGUGUUAAUCAUAUCUAAUAUGCCCGACCAACUCAUUCAAGAGAGCUAAGGAGCAAUGAACCGUACUGGAGAAGAGUUCUCAUAAGAAAACAAAGAAAAUGCUGCUAUUCAGAAGCGCUAGUCGUUAAAUCAAUCAAAAUAAUGAUGAAUAGUAUAACAAGCCAUCAAUCAAUCUAUCUAAGAGAUUAAAUGAGAGAAAACUACCUCAGUCUGUUUCACAAGCCAUGUAAUCAAAUGCUAAGGGCAAUAUCAUAACAAAAGGUGAAACACAAAGAAAAAGUUUUGCACUUAUGGCGUAGGUCAACAGAUAUAAAUCACAAUAACAAAAGAGCUUACACCUUGUGCAUAUAAAUAAGAUAGGUCUGAGUUCACAGAUGAAGUAGAAGAAGGUAAUAAAAAAGAAUAAACGAAUUUAUACCAUCUUUGAGUUGAGCAUGUUGCUCUAUGGCCUGAAGUCGGAAUUUCAACUCAUUGUUCUCACUUGUAAGCCCCGCAGAAUCUCUCUGAAGAAGAACAACUAGUGGUUACCAUUUUCGAAGAUAUUCAAGGCUCUGCCGGAGGAGCGAGGAGAUGAAUGAAUGAGGCAAGAGGCCACUUUUUGACAAUUUGGAUGUUAGGGAUUUUUCCGAUCUGGGGAGCUUAGGAGGGCACAAAUACUUUGGUAGAGGGAGUUGAAAAGUUAUAUUUUGGAUAAGAUCCAUUUGUUUUGUUUUUAUCCACUCAAAAACCACAACUCUAAAAAAAUUAAAAAUAAUUCGUAGCCUAGUGGUCUUUUGAUUCAAUGUAAAAGCUUUAGGUUUAAGAGGUCUUGGGUUCGAAUUCGAACUAAAACAAAAUUAAAAUGAUAAUUUUUAAUUGUUGAUACCAAAGCGUCAUUGAUCGCUAUUACUAAAGCUAUUGAUACUUUAGUAUUAGUAAUUAGUGAUACAUAUCUGUUAAACACGGAAACUGAUCCAAAUAUAUGUAUAUACUGAUACUUUUAAAUAAAGUGUCAGAAGACAAGUAUCAGUAAAGACUAUUUUUCUAGUAGUGUAUCUUUUUAACUACAAGCUUUUUUUAGAAGUAUAUAUAUAUAGUACUAAUCUAGUCCAAGAUCCUAAACUUUGUUAAAAUUCAUGAAAGCUAUUAAGCUAUACGGUUUAAUAAUAUAAUAAUAUUCUUGUAAUACACGCGCGCGCACACACACACACAUAUAUAGUGCUGAUUUAGUCUAAGAUUUUGGAUUUUGUUAAAAUAUGGGAAACCUAUUAAGCCACACAUUUUAAUAUUUUUCCCAAACUUUAACAGAUCCAAGAUCUUAUAUUGAAAUAAUCCUAGUACACACACGUAUAUAAUUACUAUUUAGUCUAUGUAUGUUGUUUGAGGGAAAUACUUCGACGAGACCAGACGUGAUGAGCAGAUAUUUGGUGGCAGAGUUCUGCGAACAGGUAUGUCCUGUAAGAGCCUGGUAGCAGGGGAACAGGAGCAGGAAUAUUCUGCUCGUCCAUGAAUAUGCCAUUCACGAGGACGAACUCCUGUUAGAGGCAUAAGGGCAUUCCUGCUAGGGGUCAAGGCGAGGAGACCCGGUCAACGACAGUUGGCAAGACGUGCGUUCCUAUCCGAGAAUCAAGGCACGGAGUCCAUCUCCAUUCGCCCACAAUGACGACAAUGGGGCAUCCACAUCCGAGGGUGGGGAGAAUAAUGGGCGUGGACUACGGAAGUCCGGGAUUCAGAGGAAGCCUAUAAAAAGGUAGCCAGCGAAGGUAAAAGGGUUAGACUUUUUGCUAUUAGAACUGAGAAAAGAGAACUUUAAGAACUGAGAUUAAAAAGAAGCCAUAAGAUUCGUGGCAAACAUUCCCAGAGCCUUCAUUUCUGACUUGAGCGUCGGAGGGUUUGCGCCGGGGAAACAACCGGCGUACUCUGACCUGUCUGUGUACGCAGGAACCUCGGGAAAAGAAGCUUUACGAGGAGAGAUCCUGAUCGUGGUGAAGUUGAUCGAGUAGAGACCCUGAUCGUAGAACGAGGACAACCAGAAUCUCGUAUCAACAAUUUGGCGCCGUCUGUGGGGAGCUGAGCAAAAAGCUUCUGUUGAUAGCAAGAAGAGAAGUGAAGCAAGUGAAAAGCAAUGGAGACAGGAGGAAGUAGUGCACAAGGGGGUGAUAUGAGGCUUAAUGAUUCCGUGACGCUGAGGGAGAUAGCCAGUGAAGCGCGGGAAAAAGUCAUGUUCGACCGGAUGGAACGGAUGGAAAAGCAGAUGAAGACCCUGACAACCAUCCUGCAUGAGUUGCGGAGUGAACGAAGAGUAACCCAUGAGGAAAGGGUGAGAGGUGGUGGAGUGGCACCAGGUCCCGAUAGUACGAGGAGAAGUCAAACCACCAGGAGAUUUGGUGGUGAGAGAGGUAACAUACCUCUGCGGGGAGAAUUUCAUAGAGAGGAAGAGCCAUCCCCGGCAAGACAGAUUUUUGACGAGGACGACGGGGUGGCGAAUGCAGAGGAAACAGAGUUGAGAAAACACUUGCGUGAUGUAGAGCAAGAGCGGGAUCAAGUUGCAGCAUGUGACCCUAGUCAUGCAGUGCAGCUGGAGGAGGAAGUGCGCAGGCUAGCGCAGAUAAUUGAUGACAUGCAAGGAAGGAGCAGAGCUCCUGGUUGGAGGAUAAUGCUGGACGGAGAAUCACCGCUCGCAGUAGAGAUCAUGAGGGCAGUUAUUCCGAGAGAUUUCUGCCUCCCAGACCUUAGAUAUUCGGGACGAACUGAUCCGCUGGUGCACAUAGAGCGCUUCAACGUCAUAACUGGGGUACAAAGAUUAUCUCAAUCCCAAAGGUGCAGGGUGUUCCCACUAUCCCUUGAAGGACGUGCACGAGAGUGGUACAGGAAACUUCCUUGGGGGAGCAUUAAAACCUUCGAGCAGAUGUGCCAGGAAUUUACAGAACAGUUUCGUGAGGCAAUGGCACCAGAAGAUGACAUGAUGGAGUUGAAAAACAUGAAGCAGGGGGAACAAGAAACACUUCGGGAAUUCAUCAAGAGGUUUCACCGUGCUGUCCUUGAUUUGGGAGCCUUCAACCAUCCUCAGGCAUUAAGGGGACUGAAAGAAGGGGUGAAGAUAGGAAAACUGUGGUACAAUUUGAGAAGCCCAGUUAUUCAGACGUACGCAGCCGCAUACGAGCAGGCUAAGAGGGACAUUAAGAUUGAAGAGGAAAAGGCAGCACGGAUCAAGACAGACCAGUUAGAAUGGUUGAGGAAGAAAGAGAAGAAAGCAUUGCCAGGGAAUGGGCCGAUCAGGAGGAGGGACCAUCAGGCCUCAGGUAGUGGAGCAGGAGGUCGAGUAACUACUUACUAGCCUCAUCAGAGGCCACCACAGUAUCAGCGCAGCAGGGCACAACCUCCUCGUUCCCCAGCUAGGGAGCCUUGGAGAAGGCAUGACUCGGCAUAUGGUGGUCUUCAUUAACACUCCCACGGUAGUAGAGGGGGCAGACCAGAAGUGCUGCCACCGCCUCCAACUCAGAACGGAGCAAAUAGAGAAAGGGCAGUGCACCUGAUCGACCAGAACCAGGACUAUGGGCGGUAUACUUCCUUGAAGAUGUCCCUGGACGAGGUGUACGAGGCCAUAAAGGAUCGAGGGUUGCUAUACCUCCCUGCCCCAAUAACAAAGCUACCCAGCAGGAGGGAUAGGGGACGCUAUUGUAAGUUCCAUGGCACUCAUGGCCACACCACAGUAGAUUGCAGGGAUCUCAAGACCCAGGUUGAAGAUUUGGUGAGAAAUCGGUAUCUGGAUGAGUUUAUAGAUGGGACCUUCCCAAUGGUAGCCUCGACAAGCGAAUGGGAGCAGAAUGACAGGAACUUGAGGCGCGAGCAGCCUGCAGUAAGGGUGAUAGUUGGGGGCCCGACAUUGGCCGGAGAUUCCAACAGGUCGAGGAAGAAUUAUGCUAGAUACGCCAUGACCAGCAAAGAUGUAUUCUUCAACACCCCAGCAGCCAAACGUGCAAGAGUCAGACAAGUGCCAAUCAUGUGGACAGAUGAGGAUGAAGAAGGGAUUUUAUACCCCCACGAGGAUGCUUUGGUCAUCAAGGCCACUGUUGCCAGCAAGAAGUUUGACAGGAUACUGGUUGACACAGGGAGCUCAGUUGAUGUGUUGUUUAAGUCAACCCUGGAGGAGAUGGGAAUAGCAGACCUGAAGUUGGAUUACACUAAUACCUCCUUGAAGGGGUUUGGAGGAGGAAAGUUGGUCCCUCUGGGCGUGGUCGAGCUGCCUAUCACGAUUGGGAGCUCCCCGACAGAAAGGACAAUGAUACUGGACUUUAUGGUAGUGGAUGAGGAAAGUCCUUACCAGAUGAUCCUAGGCCGGCCAUUUUUGAGGAUGAGCAAAGCGGUGCUGUCCAACCAUUAUCUGGCUCUCAAGUACCGGAUGAAUGGGGUAGUUGGAGUGGUACGAGGAGACCAGAGGAUCGCAAGAAGCUGCUACUCCUCGGCAGCAAGGGAAGCAAUGCAGAUAACAUCACUUGAUACCCGAGUGGAAAACAAGAAUGACAGAUAAGAACCUGUAGAGGAUAUGGAGACAGUAAGCCUGAGACCAAAGAAUCCGGGAAAGACGAUCAGAAUCGGGUCGAAACUUAAGGAAGAGCAAAAGCAGGAGUUGGUGAAAUGCUUACAGGCUCAUGUAGAUGUGUUUGCUUGGACACAUGAAGACAUGCCAGGGAUUGAUCCUGAGGUAGCAUGUCAUAAGCUGGCAAUAAAGAAAGGUGCUCGGGCAGUAAGGCAGAAGAGAAGGUGCUUCAACCAGGAGAGGUAUGAGGCUAUAAAUGGCGAGGUGGAAAAGCUAUUGAGAGCAUGAUUCAUUCGGAAAGUCAAUUAUCCCAAGUGGAUAUCGAAUGUGGUGUUGGUAAAGAAGGCGAAUGGCAAGUGGAGGAUGUGUGUGGAUUUUACAGAUCUCAAUAAAGCAUGCCCGAAAGACAGCUUCCCUUUGCCAAAAAUCGACCAGCUAGUAGAUUCAACAGCUGGGCACGGUCUGCUUAGCUUCAUGGACGCGUUCUCAGGAUAUAACCAAAUCCCCAUGUACGAGCAGGAUGAGGAGAGCACUGCUUUUAUCACUAACCAGGGUUUAUUCUGUUACAGGGUAAUGCCAUUUGGUCUCAAAAAUACUGGGGCCACCUAUCAGAGGCUGGUGAAUAAGGUCUUUAAGCCGUUGAUCGGGAAAACCAUGGAGGUGUACGUGGAUGACAUGAUCACCAAGUCCAAAAUCCCGAAGGAACAUGUCGGACACCUCGAGGAGACAUUCGGGCUUUUGAGGAAGUAUAAAAUGAAGCUCAACCCGGAGAAGUGUGCUUUUGGGGUCGAGUUAGGGAAAUUUCUUGGAUUCAUGGUGAACCAUAGGGGAAUUGAAGCAAAUCCUGAGAAGGUCCAGGCGAUCGUGCAGAUGAGCUCUCCUCGUAGCCUGAAGGAGAUGCAGAGCCUCACGGGGAGGUUGGCGGCAUUGAGCAGAUUCAUAUCCAAGGCUACAGAUAAGUGUCAGCCGUUCUUUCAAGUGAUAAGGAGGGGAAAGAAAACAGAAUGGACUCCAGAAUGUGAGGAAGCCUUCCAGAACUUGAAGCAAUACUUGCAGCAAGCACCUCUGCUGUCCACACCUAGGGAUGUGGACAAGUUAUUUCUGUAUUUGGCGGUAUCAGAUUGGGCCACAAGUGUGUUCUGGUGAGAGAGGAAGAAGGGGUUCAAUAUCCGAUAUACUACACCAGCAAGGCCCUACUCGACGCUGAGACCAGAUACCCACCGUUGGAAAAAUGGGCACUUGCCCUUGUGGUUGCUGCUCGGAAUCUGAGGCCAUACUUCCAAGCAUUCCCAGUCUCGGUAAUAAUAAACCAGCCAUUGCGUCAAACUCUGCACAAGCCAGACACCUCUGGUCGGCUCGUCAAGUGGGCUGUAGAGCUGAGCGAGUUCGACAUAGACUACAAACCCCGAGCAGCGAUAAAGGCUCAGGCAAUGGCCGAUUUCGUAGUAGAAUUCACAGAGCCUGAAGUAUGUUUGGACCAACGAGAGGUAGCUACAGAUAGUGGCGAAGCCCAAGUAUGGCAAAUGUCUGUAGAUGAGUCAUCAGGGGAGCAGGGAUCAGGAGCAGGGAUUGUCUUAGAAGGACCGGAGGGGGAGCAGAUCUCUUAUGCUGUAAAGUUAUAAUUUGCAGCCACAAAUAACCAGGCAGAGUAUGAAGCCUUGAUAGCAGGUUUGGAAUUGGCUAAGGCCGUGAAAGCAGACAGAGUGAAGAUCAGAACUGAUUCUCAGCUGGUUGCAAAUCAUGUUAGUGAAAGAUUUCAACCAAGAGAGGAAAAGAUGGAGCAGUACCUGAAGAUAGUCAGACAGAUGAUGGGGAAAUUUGAAGCAGUGGAGGUGGUACAAAUCCCCAGGGAGCAGAAUAGUCGAGCAGAUAUUUUGGCCAGGAUGGUAGCGGUAGCAGACCCAAAAAUGCCAAAGUCGAUCCCUCUGGAGGUGAAGUCCAACCCGAGCAUCGAACAGAAUUUGGGGGUGCUACGGAUAGAACAAAAAUGCUCGUGGAUGGACCCAAUAAUUUCGUACCUUAGAGACGGGGUAUUACCACCAGAUAAGCUGCGAGCUUGGAAGGUUAGAGCCCAGGCCUCGAGAUAUACGAUGAUUGAUGGGGUACUGUAUCGGCGAGGAUAUACACUACCUUUCCUUCGAUGUUUGGAUGAGGACGACGUGGAUUACGUACUGAGAGAAGUACAUGAAGGGAUUUGCGGAAAUCAUUCUGGUGGGAGGUCCCUGGCCCACAAGGUUCUAAGACAGGGAUAUUUUUGGCCGACAAUGCACCAGGAUGCGCAAGGAAAGACUAGGAGCUGUGUAAGCUGCCAGAGUUUUGCAAGUUUCUCCAACCAACCACCAGAGAAGCUCACCUCCAUGGCCUCCCCUUGGCCAUUUGCUCAAUGGGGAAUUGAUCUGAUCGGCCCGUUGCCAAAGGGACGAGGAGCAGCAACGCAUGCAAUAGUUGCUAUAGACUACUUCACGAAGUGGAUAGAGGUAGAAGCCCUUAGCAAGAUCACGAGAAGAAAACAACAGACUUUGUGUGGAGAAACCUAGUCUGUCGAUACGGGAUCCCUUAUGCCUUGAUAACGGAUAAUAGUAGGCAGUUCGAUAAUCACAGCUUCAGGGAUUUCUGCCAGAACCUCAGGAUAGAGUUGAAGUAUUGCUCGCCUGCUCACCCUCAAUCUAACGGACAAGUAGAAACAGCCAACAAGACGAUCAAGAGGCUUUUGAAAACCAGGUUUGGAGCAAAAAAUGGUACUUGGGUUGAUGAGCUAUCAGGCGUACUAUGGGCAUACAGGACAACCCAUAAGACAGCAACGGGGGAGACACCGUUCGUCUUGGCUUUCGGACAUGAAGCGGUCAUACCAGCUGAGAUAGGAACGACCACACACCGAACAGAUCAUUUCAACGAGCAGGACAACGACGAGCAGAUGUGUUUGAAUUUGGACUUGCUAACGGAAAAAAGGGAGCAAGCAGCCGAGCGAUCAGUCAUUUACCAGCAGAGGGUUGCCCGGUAUUAUAACCAGAAGGUGAAUGUACGGCAGUUCAAGGUCGGAGAUUGGGUGUUAAGGAGAGUGAAUCAGAACACCAAAGACUCAACUCAAGGAGUGCUCGGACCGAAUUGGGAGGGCCAUACAGGGUCAAGCAGCUAUUUGGACCAGGAGCUUACAAGUUGGUUCGCAUGGAUGGCCACGGGGUGAAGCGCCCAUGGAACGUAGCACAUCUCAGGAAAUAUUUCCAGUAAGAGUCGUUCAUAUUUUCAAGUUCUUUCUGUUCGUGUUCGUUAUUAUUUACUUUAUGUCAAAGCGAUCUCAUGUAAGCCGAAUUCAACAAUAAAGGGAUCAAUGAGGAAUUUCAGUCAGCUAUACUGUCAUCGAAAAAUUUAUAAGGCAUGUAAAGGCUCAUCAAGUCUCAAAGCCUGUUUUAUGGCGAGACAGAAGCCAAGCGUGCCAGGAUCUGCUCGACCAAGCGAAGGCGAGCAGAAUCCCCAAUCAUCGAAGUAUUUUCUAAGGCAUGCAAAAGGCUCACCAAGUCUCAAAGCCUGUUUUAUGGCGAGACAGAAGCCAAGCGUGCCAAGGUCUGCUCGACCGCGCGAAGGCGAGUAGAACCCCCAAACAUCGAAGUAUUUUCUAAGGCAUGCAAAGGCUCAUCAAGUCUCAAAGCCUGUUUUAUGGCGAGACAGAAGCCAAGCGUGCCAGGAUCUGCUCGACCACGCGAAGGCGAGCAGAAUCCCCAAACAUCGAAAUAUUUUCUAAGGCAUGCAAAGGCUCAUCAAGUCUCAAAGCCUGUUUUAUGGCGAGACAGAAGCCAAGCGUGCCAGGAUCUGCUCGACCACGCGAAGGCGAGCAGAGUCCCCAAUCAUCGAAGUAUUUUCUAAGGCAUGCAAAAGGCUCACCAAGUCUCAAAGCCUGUCUAUGGCGAGAUCGGAAGCCAAGCAUGCCAGGAUUUGCUCGAUCAAGCAAAGGCGAGCAGAAUCCCAAGUCAUGCAGAAAGACCAUAUUCUAAGCCAGAGCCUGCUCGACCAAGCGAAGGCGAGCAGACCUUCAAAUGGAAAAAUAACUUGUAAAUACAAACGCAAGAAAGUAAUCAAAAACAGUUUUUAUUAAUUUAUCAAUAACCAACGAAGUUGUUCAUUACAACGCAAGAAAUAUGUUCAAGAAGAUGGCGGAUCAGUAAGCCGAGCAGCAUCGGUUGGCUGGACCUCCUCAGGCGCAGGGGGUAUCACCAGUUGCGUCCGGGGGGUGCUCGCCUCGCCAACGUCAGCAGGGAUUGCACGAGGAGGAGAGUUUUCCUCCUCAAUCACAAUCGGCUCUACCCCUUCGGCAUCUUCCUUGGCCGCCUCCUCGUCCAUAUGUUGAGCAACACCAGCUGCAAGGUCAUCCAUCUUCAUAUCAGGAUGCUGCUUCCCGAGGACGGCCAUGAUGUAACGAUAGGAAUGCCGAAGUCCCUGGUCGUACUGGUUGUCGGCCUCCUUCUCCAAAUUCUCGACCUGAACUCGGUGGGAAUCGCGGAGAGAUUCGAGCUGAGCCUCAUACAUGGCCUUCUGCCUUUGAAGAUCCUCCUUGACCCUGGUCAGCUCCUCCUCGAGGGUAAUGGCUUUUGCUUGAGCAAUAGAUUCUUGCUCUAUCAGCUUCAGGUUCUCGACAUUCAGCUCUCCUGCUUUCUUCUCGGCGUCGUCAGCUCUAGUCAUCGCCGACUGAAUGUCCUCCUUCAUCUUCCUGUCAUAACGGCCAACCUUGGCCUUAUAGUAGGUGGUCAUGCAGCUGAGAUGGAAAGCGCUAUACUGCAUGGCUCCCACCAGCUCGCCCAGGGUGCAGCCAUCAAAGUCCUCCAGGUCCUUCUUGCUCACGAGUUUAGAUAACUCAUUGAGAUAGGGGACCAAGUGUUCUGCUCGGCUGUCAGGUAAGCGAGAUCGAGGCCCGACAGGAGGAGAAGAGGAAGCAUGAUAUGUGGCUGCUCCACUAGUUUCCCCGACUUUGGCAGGAGCAGAAGGUAAAGUCUUCAAGGGAGAGACUUGCUGCACGAUGUUGGCCCGCUUUGCAGUAGGGGCGUCCUUGUUCUGGUCCCUCUUCGUGGUUUGAGGUCGAGAACGUUUCCUGUUCAGAGCCCCAAUCAUAGCGUCCUCCAUCUUAUGGCCAGGGAGUACCAAGCGAGACUCGAGCAAGUUGUAAAUAGUUAUCAGUUCUCGGCUCGGGCAGGAGUUGGCUAGUACAGCCUCGACCCGUUUGAGUUAAUCAGGUUUGAGCGGGAAAUGAACACCCCAAGAAACUACAACACAAACAGACACUUGGUUAGAGACAAACCAAUAAAGCAAGAACAAUUAUGGAUACAAGACAUCUAAAGCGAGCAGGCAACCUGGGACCGUGAAACGGGGUGGGACGCGACAAUCUUUCCCAUCUAUUUGUGCAAUUUGACCCCAAGGACCCCCAGCAAAAAAGAAUUUCCUCUUCCAAGUCCCACCACUACCAGUUGGAAGAUCAGUUAUGGGUUUCCUGCUCUUGGUACUAGAUUGGAAGUAGUACCAGCCGGCAUCUUAGGGCUGCUCUUCAGUUGGUACAGGUGCUUCACCUCAUCAACCGUGGGCUCGCUUUGGCAACAUCUGUCCCACAAUAUGAACAGACUAGAGAGCACUCUCCACCCAUUGGGGUUCAGCUGACCAGGAGCCAGAUUUAGCCCGUUAAGUAUCCGCGCAAAGUAAGGUUGCAAGGGACACCUCAGCCCAUACUUAAAGCUCUCCAGAAACAGGGUAACAUAUCCCCUAGGAGGCCGGCUAGGUGUAUCCUUCUUUCCUGGGAUCUUAAGAGGUAUCUCACCAGGAAUACUAUACUUAAGUCGGAGGUCAUUGAGCUCAUCAAACGUGGUCGUGCACGACAUGUAAUCAAUGGCAUAAUCACGCGACAAGGCUCUACCUCCUAUUGUACCCCGUUCUUCUGGUCGUGAUGUUCUAGAUGGAGACACCUCACCAGAAUCACCUUCCCUAUUCUCACUCAAGGUGUCUUCAGAGCCAGAAGAUCCCUCCUCACCAUUACUUCCGCUCGUGGAAGUUGUUUGGGGGGACAUCCUCCUAGCACUAGUCCCGACACUAGACCUAAUGGGUUCUAAGGGGAUCCCGGGGUCAAAAGCAGGAUCAGUGAGCAGACUAGGCAAGAAACUUAGUUCGUCGUCAUCAAUCUCAACGACUUUCUCCUUACCCUUCGACAUUCCCUAAAUAAUAACCAAAACACUACCACCAACUACUACCCCAAGCAAAGCAAAGAGAAAAGAAGUUAUCUAUAAACUAUCCGAGACCGAGGAGAAAGAAGUAAUACCUGAAGUAAUGUUUCAGUCGGAGAAAGGCAAGGAUGGGGGCUUUUAUGCCGAAACUUCUUUGCUAGAGAGACAGGGACAGAGACGGUGGAAUUGGCGAAUUUUCCCUUCGAGAGGUUUUAGGUUAUCUUAUUGGAAGAAAAACUCUUGGAUAGCCAGCAUUUAACAGCACCAAAUCCCGAGGGAGAAUAACCAUCGGUUUGAAUUCAAAUAGAGGGGUAGAUCUCUACCACAUCACCUCAUCCGAUAUUAAAUGCGACACGACUCUUGGCAGCCUUUUCAAGUCCCACGCGAGCAAGAACCGUUGAGUUUCUACUGCUGGUCCAUUACAUUGCCCAACACCAGAAACUGGGGGACCGGUGUUUGAGGGAAAUACUUCGACGAGACCAGACGUGAUGAACAGAUAUUUGGUGGCAGAGUUCUGCGAACAGGUAUGUCCUGUAAGAGCCUGGUAGCAGGGGAACAGGAGCAGGAAUAUUCUGCUCGCCCACGAAUAUGCCAUUCACAAGGACGAACUCCUGUUAGAGGCAUAAUGGCAUUCCUUCUAGGGGUCGAGGCGAGGAGACCCGGUCAACGACAGUUGGCAAGACGUGCGUUCCUAUCCAAGAAUCAAGGCACGAAGUCCAUCUCCAUUCGCCCACAAUGACGACAAUGGGGCAUCCACAUCCGAGGGUGGGGAGAAUAAUGGGCGUGGACUACGGAAGACCGGGAUUCAGAGGAAGCCUAUAAAAAGGUAGCCAACGAAGGUAAAAGUGUUAGACUUUUUUCUAUUAGAACUGAGAAAAGAGAACUCUAAGAACUGAGAUUAAAAAGAAGCCAUAAGAUUCGUGGCAAACAUUCCCAGAGCCUUCAUUUCUGACUUGAGCGUCGGAGGGUUUGCGCCGGGGAAACAACCGGCGUACUCUGACCUGUCUGUGUACGCAGGAACCUCGGGAGAAGAAGCUUUACGAGGAGUGAUCCUGAUCGUGGUGAAGUUGAUCGAGUAGAGACCCUGGUCGUAGAACGAGGACAACCAGAAUCUCGUAUCAACAUAUGUGUUAAUGCUCUAAGAGGAAUAUACGAAGGAAUAAUCCAUUGAUGUAAACAAUAUACAUAUUAAUUGAUGUAAGAUGAUGCUGGCGAAAAGAAAAACGUGACAAAGAGCCCUUCAAACUAGUACCACAAAUUAAACGUUACUUUUCUUUUUCUGUCUUAGAAGGAAGAUAAUAAUGAAAACCCAAAUUAAUUAUUUAAUUCCCACUUCUUUAGGACUGGAAGUCAAAUGAGUUGUUAAAAAAAUUCUUUGAAAUUAUUCGGCCAAAUUGUUGAAGGAUACUAUUACUCUAGUUUGUAUGAAUUAAACUUGUACAUAUGUAAGUUACAUAUAAGGAUACUAUAAUUCUAGUUUGCUAAGUUACUGCUCAUGUAAGUUACAGCCUUUGAAAAUAAUGUAAAAGGUAGUAAUAAGUUAUGGGACCUGCAGCCUUUGAAAAUAAUUUUUCGUCUGGAGAUAUGACCCAAUCUUCUAGGCUAUAAUGCAGCCGAAUUCUCAUUAGUUAAUCUUCUUUUUAAAUUUCAUGUACUAAAUUGCAUAGAUUCAUUAAAUGAAGCAAUUGUAUCAAGCAUAUAAAGAUUAUCAUUACCUGACAAAAAACUGAAACCAACUAGUUUUGAAUCAUGAAACAAACUGAAUUUUUCAUUUCCAAAUGAACAAGUAAAACCAGAUUUGUCCAAAAGAGAAAUGGAAAUCAAAUUAUGUCUUUUAGACAGAACAAAAUGUUUCAUCAACAUCUAAAUAAAAUCUUGUCUUUAAUAAUAAUCUAAAUUUUCUAAUUGCUUCAACUUCAACCUUCUUUCCAUUGCCGAAAUAGAUGUAUCUUUCACCAUUAUUGAACAUUUGGCAUUUCAAGCAACUCUACGAGACACAUUGAUGUGAGUGGUUACAACAAAAUCUAUCCAUCAUGUGUGUCUUGGUACCAAAGUUAAAUUGACCUCAGAACAAACCGAACCGUGCCCUUCAACUUUGCAAAAGAAACAACUAGUACAUUUCAAAUCAUUUGAUUUCUUUUUGUUGUUUCAUUUGAAGUUUUGUAUUUGCAACUUCCUUAUCUUUCUUCCUUUUCUUGUUCUUGUCCUUGUCCUUAUACCUUAUUGAAAUUAUAUUUAUUAAGAGCGUACUUAUUUCUACCUUUUCAUUCUUGAGAGAUCUCUUUUUAAUGUCCACAAAGAAUUCUUUAAUCGUAAUUUUUUUCUAAACAUUGAGCCCCUGAAAGCUUUUGGAUUGGCCUUCUUCAUGAUCAUGAUACACAUGUGAUUUGAUCUCUUCCGCAUUUCUAUUUCCUUCUUGUCAUCAGAAGUACUCAUCCAUAAGAGGUGGAGGAGAAUAAGCUCUUAAUGCAAUGUCAAAAUUCAUGAGUGAGAGAUCCAUUAAGAGGUUCUCUUGACAUGACUUGAAGUUAGAGCUAUUUAGCAUAGGAAUAGAGUUGAUGUUGGCAAUAAUAUUAGUAAGAGUCAUAACUGAACAGAGAACAACAAACAAACAAAACAAGCUCAUAUAAGUUAUAAAACAAAAAUAAAUUCAUAUAAAGGUAAACUCCAUCUCAAGAUACCGGACGCUCCAUUAAUAUUUUAUCUUUGGAUAGAGUAUUAAUUUAUAAGUGAUAUCUUGGUGUAGUAAUCAAAAAUUGAUAAUGAGAACAUGUCAAACAAUAAAUUUUCCUUUGCACCGAUUUAUUGUUCACAUGCAAAACCAAAAAAUCAUCACAUAUUUAUUGCCACAGAUGCACAUGCAAUUCUAUCAAAUAUGGAUCUUCCUUUGGUUCGAUUGAUGUUCACAUAAAUUACAUAAACUCAACUAUUUAAAUUCCAAAACAAAUUAAUUUCCACAACAGAGGUCACUUUGGUGACAUGUCGCUUCAAUUAAUUCAUCUCAAAAUAUAUAUAAUAUUUGAAUUUAAAGUUGUACCAAAAAUUACCCAAAAAAAUUUUGGGCCAAAGUCAAUAUCAACGAACAAUAGUUGGUCAACCGUUGAUCGGUUUAGGGCUGGACCAAUUGGGGUUGACCUGAACCAGAUUCUAAACCAGCAUCAAAUCUUGAAACCCUAAUUUCUUCCUUUUUUUUUCUUUCCUUAUGGCUGCCGUGCACACCUAAGUUAUACAACCGCUUGCCGACGCAGCCUGAUGGUUGCACCUUUCCUGGCCAGAAAACGGCCACCCUUUUUCUUAUUUACUUUUACUUUAUUUGCCACGGCUUGCUUUAUGGCAUGGCCAAUAGCCACGCUUUUCUAGUGGCCACAAAAUCUCAACGCCGGAAGCCAUGCAAUUUGUUUUGUUUUUAUGUGAUGGGCAUGGCCAUGGCUAACAAUUUUACCAUGAUUUCCUUAUAUAUAUAUAUUUAUAUUUAAUUUACUGAUUUAAUUUUCUUAAUACCAUAAGAAAACCACAAAUUGUUCUCAAAUUCAAUAAUACUGAAAUUAUUAAAUUAGAGAACAUCAAAACUUUAAUUAUUAAUUGAAAAUAAAGUCGAUUCUCAAUUAUUCAAUAUGAAGAGGCUUUGAUGCCACUUGUUAGAACAAUAAUCCUUUGGUGAAAGCCAUCACUUAUAAUCCAAAAACAUUCAUGUUGUAUACUAAGCAUCAAUAACAAAAUAUACAGAAGCGUAAUUGAAUCUAUAAUGUACAAUUACUCUCUAAAGUCGUGUAGUUGGCAUUCCAGAUCAAUACAUUCUCCUAGUGAACCCUUUAAGUUUAUAUGUGCUCUCUUCCUGAUGAUGGGAUGUCAUAAAGAAUCAAAUAAUAUGUGUGACCUAGGGACUAUAACCACUUAUAUAGACAACUUUUUCUGUUGUCUUUAGGUAUUCAAAUUUCAGCCCACCAUAAAAAUAAAAAUUAUCCUUAAGUAUCUACACAUUAAAAGUUCACACCCUAUUAAAUACAUUGAAGCUCAUAUUAUUAUAAAUGUUAAUAAAUUCACUUUUAAUUAGACUAACUUUAUAUAAUAGUUUGUAACGAGUAAUUAUUCACAUAUAAGUUCAACAUUAGAUUAAGAAUCCAAUAAUAUUGGAUUAAAGAUCCAACAAUUAAAGGUAACUAGUUAUUAAAAAAAUAAAAAUAAAAAUAAAAAAUGAAAAUCAAGAUAUUUUGAUGAGAAAGUCAUGUCCACGAGCCUAAUUGAUUGAUCAAGUAUGCAACAGUGCAGUGACCAUCUAUCUAUUCCUUCAAGCUCUAUAAAUAGCAAGCUCUUGUGCUUUAAUUUCCACCUGUCUAACAGCCUUCAAAAUAAUUGAAAAUUUAUCAACAAUGAAGAACUCAGUACUAGCACUAACAUUCUUCGUCUUUCUCUUUGCCUUUGCUGCAAAACCAUCUUUGGCUGCUCGUCAUGAGCCUUUAGUGCUUCAUUCCGAUGGCCAGGAGCUCCUCACGGCUACCAGCAAUUGCGAUAUCGUAACUCAAUUUGAGUGUAAUGGUACGUAAUUAUUAUUGAGGACAUUAUCCUAAUAAUUACUGGGUUAAUAAUACAACUGAGCUAAUUUUUUAAUAUGAGUUAGGUCCAUGGACUUUUAAAAUAUGGCCAUAAUUGGCUGUUGAACAAGUUUUAACCACUUAGUAAUUCUUAUAUGAAAUAUAACUGCAGGCAAGAGCGCUCAUGGCCAGAACUGGUUGGUGUAAACGGGGAGAUUGCUGCUGCUACGAUUAUCUGCAAUCAUUAUGGCUGGAUGGAUGGUCAGGAUUAACUGCUUGUUUAUAAUCACUUAACUAUGUAUUAGUAAAAUAAAUGAACAAGUAGUGUUGUUUAAUAAAGCAUGCAUGGAUGUGCGUGAUAUCCAACAAUCGGGUUCUACGAAUGAGUGUAAUAAUACAACCUUUAUGUCUAC